CGCCAAGUAAGUAAACCACCCGACCCUAGUACGAACUCUUUGGGAGCCCUCAUUUCGCCUAGAAGUAACUACAACUACAGGUAUUCACCAACAACAAGAAAAGUACUGGCAACCGAAACUCCCCUUUCUUGACUUCCCCAUAAGACUUCUGGCUACCCUUUCUUUACUUCCCCGACUAGACCUCUGUUAUUGAUUACUUGACUAGCUGCCCUUUAGCGCUACUUACUAUGUUACUUGGCCCGAGCUCUAAGUGCUGUUUUUAUUCUGAUUACUCUUCCCCAGUAGCUGGGAAUCGGUGGUACUGGUUCCAUUCUGUCGAGUAGUGGUUGCAUUCUGGUUAGCACUAGCAUCAAGUCCGAUUAGCUCAGGUUGAAGUCUGACUGAACUGCUUAGCUGCUACGUGGGCAUGAGCACUCUGCUUGGCUCCUACUUAAGAGUAUCAUUCUGACCUAGCCCACAACUAUUGAAGAGUAUUCUCCUUUCCUUGGCACUGACUCAGAUCCAGCUACUGAUCUUAUAGAUUCAAUAAGAACAGGAUAUUCUCCACUGUAAACUGGAACAGGCCGACAAGGAGCUACUACAGCAUCAACACUGGAACCGACUCACUACAAGCAGACAGCUUUCAAGUAUGGGCAAGUACCGUAUUUUGAGUUUCAAUAUAAAUAGAAGAUGGAUUAGUUUACUCGGCGCGGAAGGGAAGAGAUAGAUCCAAUUCUGAACUUGAAGUAUGGGUUGGGUCGGGAAGCUAAGGGAUGCAACAAGAACAGAAAUCUACUUUUUACCAAAACCCGUGUUUUUUAAUAGCCAAGGGGAGCUCCUGCCGCGGUUUUAACUCGCUGACGCGACACAUUAGUAGUGUCUUGUCUAGUAGUUCCUUGGCCCGCUAAUAGAUCACCAGAUUUCAAUGAGCUUUUUCCGUUUUCCCGUGUUUUUUCAUAGCCAAGGUAAUUUCCCUCCUGGACCGAUCUAUUUCCAUGAUCUUUUCACGUUUUACCGUGAAACAACACUGCCGCGUAACAUUCUGUUCCUUGGCGGGUAGCAAUCAGAUUUCCCCUGCUAAAGGGUUCCAUUUCUCCUCUUUUUUUCAUAAACCCCGUGUUUUUUCAUAGCAAAGCUUACUUCCUCUAGCUCUUUGAACUCCAACAAAACAGGAUUUCUUUCCCACUCUUGACCUUCCCUUCCUUAACUUGGCUUUCGAACCUAGACAAUUAAGUACUACUUUCCUAGAGAAUUAGUAGAGCUAGAGCAACAACUAGAGCUAGAGCACCAACCUCUUCUCUUAGCGCCUAAGCUUGUUCUUCACUUUCUAUUAUUAAGUAAGGCAACUCCCUUUCCAUACUUUAGAACCAGAACAGGACCACUACCCGCGCCCAGUAUAAGUAAGUAAACAAGCCUAGCCUAACAAGUCAGUAAACUAAGUAAGUAAACUAAGUAAGUCAACAACACUACCCGAGUAAGUAAACAAGCCGAUCCCUAUUAACUUCUUUCAACAAGCCCAGCAGCUGGCAACCGGAAUAGCAAACAGUCAAUAUAUUCUAACUAGUUGUUCCGAGUCCUAAUUCCAAGGCGUCAGGGCCUCUAGUGUUUCCUGGCAACUACUAAAAGCACCAAUUACCCUAAGCAGAAUCGAGACCUCACCACCCGCUAUAGAACUCAAAAGGGCUGUUUUUGUCUACGUUGCUUGUAUAGUAGUUACUUGCACUUAUUAACGCAGCUUGCCUAUGAAACAUCCUGUCCCAGAGAGUGGCUUUGAACCUGUAUUGAUGUUAGGAAAAAUGCCAUAGAACAGCUGAGAAAGGCGGAGAUAGUUGAUUCACAAAGUUAUUAGUCAAUUCCAUUCAAGUUGACCAGAGAGAGAGGAUCGGUGCUUAAUCCUUUAGGGGAGAGUUCGGUGCUCUAGCUCCUUUCCUUGUAUAGGGCAGAGGUGAUUGUGUUGGUGACGCUGGCAGAAGAGGAUUGAGCUGGGCAUAAUAGAGUCAGACUUGCUUUAGUUGCUAGCCCUUACUAUUAAAGGUUAACUCCUUCUCUUACCCUGCCUUAGUAGCUUGUCGACUUGGCCCUUAGUGACUUGGCCAGCAUAUAGGGCAACUCAGUAGUGAGAGUCGGAAUUGACUAAGGAGUUACAGGCUUAAACAAGUACAACUCAGAAUAGACUAGUGAACAGAAAGACUCAAACAAACACCGAUCAGACUCAAGUCAGCUACUAAGACACCUAACAACGCGACUGAAACCAGUAACAACUAGAAUGCAACUGGCAACUAGCAGGCUGAAACAAGUGCUAACCGGAAUCGAACUACUAACAACAGGACUACAACCAGUGCCACUAAGCCUUAAAAGCACUAACUCCAAGAUUGAAACCUGUGGGAGCUAUACUGGAACCACUAACAACCCGACCCGAGUCAAAGAAUUCCACCAGCCUGGUAUAUAGAAGAUAAGAUCAAAUGCAUUCUUUGUUUUCAUAGGUGCCUUCCCGCUCUAACAGAUUGCUUUGGGUAGCCUUCUUCUCGAAUUGAAAGAGCUGGAUCGGGAUCAUAACCCCUAUUUCUAGAAGUUGAACCACCAAGCCCCUACUCAAAUGAGGCUCUCUUCUCUUUAUAUUGGUUUCGGAGCUGCUCCUGCUGAUUCUACCUUUGAUGCCAAAGGAUCAGGUACUGGCUUUGAUGCCAUAAGUUCAUGAGUUGGCGAAAGGGGUGUCGCGGGAAGGGGAAUCCUCAAGAAUUAUUGUUACCCCCCGCUCCCUAUAAUAGUGGAAAAACUGUCGUCAACUGAUUGGUCCAACAAGAAAAGAAUUAAGAGCUAGUGAGGAAGCGGGAAUCGAAGUUGUAUCAGAAGCUGGAAGUAAAGGCUUUUUAGCGAGGUGUACUAAUGAGGGUGUAGUUAGCAGAGAUGAGCCAGUACUUUCGCAGUUUCACCCUGACUUUCUUUCUUUCUUUGUCUUUGAAGACCUGAUUGAGAGGAUAGGCGGGCAACCAAGGAAAAGAGGCUAAAUCUAAAGAAUCCCAGUUUGUUAGCCAAAGGCGAGCAGUAACGCAGUGUUCGAACAAGCAAGGAAGGGGGAGGGAAUAUAUAAUCAAUCCAAAAGUGAACAAGCCGACUCUACGGAAGGAAUAUGCUUAGCGCGCAGAACUCGCUAACUCCACUGAGCUUCCAAUCAUAAAUGAGUAUUGGUGGGGUAAGGGAAGAUUAUCUCAAUGCGCGCGUCGUGGUCCAAGCAUUCAAGGCUGGUCUUGUCUUCAAGGGGAGUUUUGGUCGGGGAAUAAUAAUAAAGUGACAUUUUCGUUUUCAGAUCAAGAUCGGAGGCCUGAAUAGAAGAUGGAUCUGGAGAUAAAGCUUUAGCUGUAGAAAGGUUAAGGGCAGAAGCGUUUCGUAGAGUUCUUGUUUCAUCCUAGUCCACUUCUGAAUCCGCAGUAAGAGAAUCCGCAGUGCCCGGAAAGUAGUAUAGAAUGAGGCCGUGAUAGCCUUAAACGAUAAAGAAGCCCAACUCUAUAUCCGCGUCAACAGAUUGUGCGGGCCUACUAGACCUGGCGCUCGCUCCAAUUAGGACUUGCUACGGAAACUCAAUUAAGAAAUGACCUUUAACACCGAGAUACAGAAUGGAACUUGAAAACACCUCUAAUUACUGUAUCCGUAGUAGGAGAAGUAUCAAUAGAUGUAUAAGGAGUAGGAACAGACUCAGUGGCUAAAGUUCAAUGGAAAAGGGAAGCAGUGUAUUUCUCUUUACUUAUACCAGAAGCUCGAGAGUGAAAUUGAUAUUCAUGAGUAGCGCCCGUGGAGGGAGUCCCUUGUUUAAAGUCACGUUCGAAAGGAAUCUUCAAGUUCCGUUGAGUGGGGGUAUCUUAUCGAAUAAGUAAGUAUAGAAUCAGAGGCGAAACCAGUAGUAAGAGAAUCCGCAGUGAACUAGGGAAGUCUCCAAAAGAGGAAUCCGUUGUCGUUUUGUCAACAAGAUCAGGAUCCGUUCUCAAGUCAGCAACAGCAAAAGACUCCGCUGUAUCAGUUUCAAGAUCCGAAGCAAGCAGGAUAAGAUCUUUCUUAUGCCCCUUUGACUUUAUUCUUCCCCGAUAACUACACUUUAAACAAAUCAUUCCACUUGCUGCUGCCCUUACUUAUAUUAGGCUUGAUCAAGCAUCUAUCUAAUCUAGCUUACUUACCUAAUUCUAUAUGAUACCUAUAUCUUUCAACAAUAACUCAAAGGUAAUAACCGCUUGCUCCUUAACUCUUACUUGUCUAGCCUGUUUCCUUGUCCUUUUUUAGAGUAAUGUUUCCGGGUUCCAGAAGCAACAGCUAAAGUCAAACAAUCAUUUCUUACUGAAUUCAUUCAUAGAAUCUCAAACAAUCAUUUCUUAUCUUACUACUUCAUAUAAUAAUCUAGGAAAGUAACAGAGCAUUGCCAACUUGAUCUUAUCCUAACGCCGAAGACAGGAAUUGACCUAGAAACUCCCGAAAAUCGGAAUCUUUCUUUUGAGCGGUCAACGUAAACAAAUAAGAAAACCCACUCUCCCUGGCGCCACAGCUUAUGCUUCCGCGGAUGCUUAUGACUAAUAGCCAGUACUCUUUGGAUUCAAGUCGAACAGAACUACUUGUUGCUGACUUUGGCAGAGCUUCCUCUCUCUCUUACAAAGGGAAAAAGUCAAGUCAAACAAAGAAUUCCAAUAAGGCGUAUGAAGCACCACUUACUUAAUCUAUAAGAAAGUCACUGGUCACCUCAACUUCACUUUAAGAACAUUGUCUUUCGUCGACAACACAAGCAUCGAACCUAGCCUGCGCAGGAGCAAGAAGUCAUCAAGUGAAAGGACUGGGCGAUUAAGAACCAACCCCUACCCCUAUGUCUUGUUAAUACAAAUGCGCCCUUAACUACAAGGAAGCCUUAAAUAAGGCCUUUAUGAGUCGUUGAACAGAGGUUUCAUGGAGCUAAUGGCAAAUUACCUAUCUUGUACACUUACAGUAGUUCUAAUGCAUUCAUUAUUUGAUUAUAACCGCGGUAGGAGAGUGAUAUUUCUCUUAGCCCUAUCCUUGCUCAUACUUUCUUUUUACCUUGAGCACUACGUUACGUGGACAUUUUCUUCUCGAGUCUAUUAUUCUUCUGUAUAGUGUAGGGGGCAACAGAUUGUCCUGGUUACCGCUUUGACACCGCUGAUUCCAUGUAGGAUGACAGUCUCACUUCUACACUCGCUUCAGCAGUUUCUCAUUCCAUUCCACAAUUCUAUUCUUCCUUUUGAUAGGCCAUAUAGGGAAAAACAACACUCUUUUGCGUCGCCUAUCCUUUUGAUUCAUAAGCUUCUGUAACGGAACUCGUACUCGUACAUUUGCUUCAAUCAAAUAAUCUUUAUCGGCAGCCCGCCCUUCCUUUGCUUUUUGAAUGAAACUCGAUUGUAGUAGACCGCGCAGUUCUUAGUGUUCUAGAAAGAAUAGGUUUUGUUUAACAAUCCGUUCUCGCACCGGUAAGAUACGAGUGAGAAACCCCUAAAUGAACACUGCUGAUUCUGUUGAAACUGCUUAUGCAUAUGCUGAUGACUUAUAAACUCCUUAACGCAUUUGUUUCUUGCUUAGUUACCUUGUGUUCGAAGCAAGCCCUAGUUAUAGUUCUUUUGCCGACCUCGACUGCUUACUUUAGUCUUACAAGUCCUUUCUUCAGCCGUUUGAUGCUUACUUGCCUUGAAACCUCACAGCUUACUUGCGCCUUUACUUAAUAGCUAUUUCGGAUUAUUCUUAUGUAGAGUUGCAGACUAGGAUGACUUUCUAGUUUAGAGAAGAAGCUUUUUGAGUAUAAAGGAAAGGAAUAGUCUCAAGGUUCGGUUCAGUUCCAGGAAAGUAUCAAGAUGUUGGCGACGAGCCGAGUAGUUCAUCAAAGAAAAGAGAGUGAGAGUUUCCGUUUCGUUCGGAACUUCCAGUGCUUUUCCAGAUUCAAGUCGAGUUCAAGAAGCCCUUCCACUUGUUUGAAUUGAAAUAAAUAAGUAACAUAUGAGAUAAUAAAGUAUUCAAAAGAAAGCUUGACUCAACAAGCAACGUAGAAAGUAUAGCUUGUUCCCCAAAACUCACCUAUUACUGCUUGCUCUGCUCGGACCCUUUCAUAGAGAGAGCAUUGAUGUCGUCCACCCUUGAUUUUCUAUACGAGACUAAGAGCUGUAGUCGGGCCAUUGUGAGGGUAAACUAAUACGGACGUUGCUUGUUCGAACUCAUAACUCUGUUCGUAUACUAGGUGAGCACUUAGGCUUUCGAAACUCCACCUCCACUCAACAACGUACUCAGGCGAAAUCCAAUCUCAAAUAAAUCAAAUGUUCCAUAAUUGAGUAAAACCACUGCAUACAUAAAAUCACUACCGCUAUAGAGUAGUCGAACUCCAAGAAUAUUACUUACAUAAAGAUAAUCUCUCUAGUAUCAUGUACUCUAGUAGAAUGUAUAGAAAUUGGAACCGAACUAGCUACUCCAAUAAGCUGCUUAUGCGCCCUAUCUUCUUAUUCUUUCUGUUCUGCUACCCCCCAUUUGAAUAAAACGAAAUCUCACUGACAACAUCUAUAAGCGCUAUACCAUACUGCGAAACUUCCAUCACCUAUUACAGCUGGCUCUAAAUCAGAGGCACAUCCCCAAUAAUAGAAUGGAGUCAAAACCCUGUUGACAUCUUACAUAGCAAAACCUCACUGCAUGUUUCUGGCGCCGUUCAUCUGUUUAGUGAGUAAAGCAUUAAACAUAAACCAAUGUAGGGGUGGGUAGGGAGAGUGUGAAGUCCCCAAAGUAUUGAGAAUGAAAUCCUUUAUAUAGUAUAGAAAUAAGUCCCCAAGGUAUUGAUAAUGAAAUCCAGAAAGAGAAUGAAAUCCUUUAUAUAGUAUAGAAUAUUCAAGUAAACAAACAGAACAAGAAGAGGAAGAGAAUUGAGGCCUUGUUGGUCCCGAUUAGGAUUGUGAAUUGAGUGAGGCCUUGCUCCAGCGAAUUACUAACAACUAGUGGCUUGUUCCCUGCAACUCUAUGAGAUCUAUGAUCCUCCAAAGGUAUAAGGCCCCUUCCAAUAAUCAGCGGUAGCAAGAUUGGACUGAGGACGGACCGCGUGUCCAACAUUUCUCAAUGGCCAGCUUGAAUAUUGGCAAAAUGUUCCAUAUCUCCAUUCUACCUUGACUUUUGUCUGUCGAGUUACUUCGUUCCUCCUCUGACUUUAUUGAAAUAUAGUGAGUCAAAUAUAAUGUACCCUUGCAUCCAAAUCUGGCACUACAUAACAAGUCAAUAAAAGCAGAAAAUACCGUAUGCAUAUUAAGGUGUGAAAGGAGUCUCUAAAAAGCUUCGUAGCCAUCAUAGCUUAGCGAGACUAAUCGCGCUUGCGAGAGAGCAUCGAGUGGGUUUACUUUAAGCUGCGAGUGCACAAGUGGGUUACUUUAAGCAGCGAGUGGGCUGGUAUUCUUGUAGAUGGGGGAGCCGUACCUUAUAAUCAAAAAGAAGGAUGUUGUGGCGUCAGAUGAUUGAGAAAGCAUCCGAGUAGAGCUUAGUUGUGACACCGGACGAGUUGAUAAAUACACACUGGUUAUGAAGGAACUAGCCGUGAAGGUGGGUGGGUUCCCGAGCAAUCAUCAUACGAAAACGAAAACCGCGUUUGGUGCUUGCGCGCGUGAGAUGAGAUCCAGUAAGCUAUCUAUAUAUAGAGAGAGCCAGCUGGGUAGUUUUGCCUCAUUAGGGAGGAAAGAUGCGCAUGAAGAAGCAAGCGGGAUUAAGCAGAUGCGCUAAGAAUAGAUGAAGCAAAGAUGGAUCCGCGCUUAGGGCUAGGGCUGUUAUUGGUCGAACUCGUCUUCAACGUGUUGAGGCCAUACUAGAAAGAACCACGCCCACACCGCUGUAGCUCUAUGGCUAUAUAGACGCAAUAGGGCACUAAGAAUCCACUUGGAAUUAGUAGUUUCGGUUCAUAUCGGCAGGAAUGAGCCAUUCUGUAGUACGUAGUGGCGAGCUUUCAUUUCCGUUCAGUAAGUAGGGGAACGGCCGUAGUAGCUAGCGAAUCCACGUAGUAGUUGUGUUUUGUGUUCUAUCCAUUCUUUGGGUGUGAAAGAAACCAGAAAUGGAAUUGUAAGUAGCUUCAUAUAUAAUAAGAAAGUAAACAAACUAACAAGCAACGGAACUCGCUAACGUGAGGGGUGCUUAUUUCUAUUUUGCUGUUCUUUCAGAGUUUAGGUCCUAUUACUCUGGAGACUCUUAAGCCAUUGAUGUCUGGAAACCUUAUUGUUGGCUUCUGGUCUUUCUAAAGAAGGCAAGCCUCGUGGUAGUCCCGAGAUUAAGUACUCCCGCAGGCCGAGCCCCCUUCUUCUAUACCGGAAAGCCUCUAACCCUUACCACUGCUUCUUGCUUUUCCAAUCCCUAUUUCUAUUAUAUCUCUAUAUAUAUAUUAUUUCAGAUAGAUUUCUACUUCCUGCCUUUUCCAAUCCCUAUUUUGUCCAUUCUAUUUCUGUAUUAUGAGAGAGGUGAUUGAUAGAUUCUUUCUUUGACCACUGAUAUGCGAAUGAUGCAUAAUUCUUUUCGUUCGCAUCGGAGGAGUUGCAAGCCGAUCUACCUUAUGCUUAUGUCUGGAUAGAGAAUUGGAUUAUGGCUCCGCUUUUCUUGACUAUCCCGCUUUUCAUUACUUUAGCAGGAUAAGAAGCAUUUCGGGAGUCAAUACCUCUCCUCUUCCUAUUCCCGAAGCUAGUAAGAGUAAUAAGGUCCCAACUCAGAGUGUUGUUCUUUUUUAUGAUAUCGAAGCAAUGUCGUAUCCAGCUCCGUUCUAGUAGCGGAAAGAGAGAUCGAGAUGUGAGAUUCCGGGAUGAGUGAAGAACACUAGCAGCUCAGCCGCCCUAACGGAAAAAGGACUUGGAAAAAGUUGCAGCGCCUGACGCUCUUAAUAGCCUAAAGUGAGCUAAAAGCGCUAAAGGAGUUUGGGCUUGCCCUAUGUUUCCAGUUGAUUUCUUAAUUCAAUGCGCUAGCAAGUUCUGUAUUCUGGCCCUAUGAAUAUCUUCUCUUAUUAGAAUGCGCUAGAUCGUACCCAAAGAGCCAAGUAACUACUAAUGACCAACCCACCACUACUAGGCAAAACGGGACCUAAUCAACUUGCCUUAUAAUGCAUUUAUGACUAGAAGAUUUAUGGUCGAAGAAAGGACUUGUACAGGGUUUGAUGCGGGGAAGUGGAGAAUUGCCUGUUCGAGGUAAAGUUUCAAGGAAAGGUGUUGUCGACUCUCAAUCGGGAAUAAGAUAAUAGUACUCGGGCUUGCUUUGAAGGGCAGAAGAAAGUAUAGGCUUAGUUUCUAGGUGUGAGUGAGCGAGAUACUUUUCGUUCCUAUGGUCUACUGCUUUAAGGGGCGAGGGAAAUCGUGAGAGAACAGUCUUCCUUCAUCUGCUGCAAUGAUUCUUUCCUAUGGAUAGAUACCAUCGGUGAACAAAUGAAAUGAUGGAUUUAGCUUAUUGAUUGAGAAUUACCUCUUACAGAUGCACAUAUAAAGGAAGAUAGAUCGCUUAUGUCUAGGUCGCCCCGCUCUCGCUUUGCUCUCCCCUUGACUUCUGUCGUUGGACUACGCGCACAGGAUCGGUUUCAAUAAUGGCUGGAUCAUUCUGCCGCUGAAAGAUCACUUAAUCACACACAAGCAAGAUGAAGUGCUAUUCCACCGGUGAGAAGAGAAGAACUGGUACUUUAUGCGAAUAUUGAAGAAGCGAGAACACACUCGUGAUAAGGGCGGAAUAAGGGUAGCGGUAAGUCUAGACUACUACUUUCAGGGGCCAAAAGCAGGUUCACUCAGGACUACUAUACUACCUUUUGUUUGGGAUUCCACAACUAAUGAAGGGGAGUUCGGUGUCGGAUCGGAGUGGGAAUGGGAAGUAGCUCCCAAGUCCUGUGUUUGGGAGUUAGGUUAGUUGGUAAAGAGAAAAGAUGCUGUUCUAGACUCAACUCGCCCCCCUUCCGGCUUGGCACAGCUGAAAUUCCUUUACUAUAUGAUUUCUUUUCUUUUGCCCACCUCGACUCUUGCAACUAAUACCUCCUCGCCUCUUGCAACUAGCUAAUCUAACCCCUUAACUUUAAGCUCUUGAUGAAGAUACCUCGCAAGUUAAGAUAGUAUGACCUGUGCUCUGAACCAACCCAGUACACUUUCUUUACCACCUCUCCUCUGUAAACUAAUGCCAAACAGGUCACCAACGUAGGUAAGGGCUAAGUAUUUGAUAUAACACUAGCAAACUGACUAUACGGGCCCGAACAGGAUUGAUUGUCUCUCUCGAAGCCAACUACUAGAGCAGCUCUCUCCUCUGUAAACUAUUCAAAGAAUGAGGCUCUGUUACUUGGCCCCUACUAAAUGAUAGAUUCUCUUUAUAUAUGAGAUCUUUAUAUAUGAGAACUUCUUCUAGGAAAAUGGAUAAGUAAGAUCAACUACUAGGUGGGUAAGGCUCGUAAGCUAUGAAAGUCUAGUUAUUGCCCCUGAAAGGAGUAGUCCAAAGAGUAGAGGAAAGUUUACUUCCAGCCUAACUAUUGAACUCAGUAGUCAAAGAACCAAGACACCAAUAUUGGAAGAAAAAACAAUCAAUGAUCAAAACCAGAAAUCAAGAAUAUCAGAAUAAAGAAUUCCACCACAGUAUACACAUAGUAGGGGAAAAUAUAUAUCACUUUAUUAAGGAAACUAGAUUCCACUCAGCGGUGGGUAAGAAUUCUACUCUUAAGUAGGAGCCAAGCAGAUGCAAGCGGUAAGGGAGUUCAUUCAGCAAGUAAGAAGGGCGAGCUACUAUAGAGGAUCCAAUGAAGCAAGUCAGAGUUGCACUCAGUAGUCAAAGCACCCGAAACAAGACUGGAAGUGAAGAAGUUCAGAGCAGAUAUAAUAAGUGGCACAGGAACUAGUUAGAGGCUUUGAAGCGGGAAGAAAAGAAAAGACCCAUACUUAAGGGGGAGCAGCCCUGCCGCGCAACUUACUAUGUUGCUUGGUGGACUUGUUCAUAAGGAGAGGGAACCAUGUUUAUAGCACCGGGUCAACUAGGAGGUCAGUCUUAUUGUUAGGUAUCUUAGUUUAGUUGUUAGUGGUUUCAGUCGAGGUGGGCAAGGUCAGAAACAGAAUCAGGGUAAGGGGAGUCGGAACAAGAUCUGAAGCCGGGUGCUCGAUUUCGUAUGCAAGGAAAGAAAGUCAAUAAUGAGUUCAAAGAGACAGCUCUAAAGUGAAUGGUUAUAGUCUUCAGACCGGGAGUACUGUGGCGUAGUAGUACUGUUGCAUCAGUAGUAGGUAGUAGCCAUAGGAUAGGUAGGCAAGCUAGAACAUCUAUUUCCUCCCCUGGUAAGUACUGUUAGAGUGUUAGUGUAAUCCCGGUAGUCCAGGUAGUACGAGUUGACAGAGGAGACCCCCCUAGCUCCUGUUCGAAAGUGUAGUAGGCCUAUUCGCCAGUGAGAAAGAGAGAAGCAACAGAGAGAAUAGUUAGAAGUUGCCAUAGCUCGUGGAGUCAUAGGUAAUAGUCAGCAUCCCGUAUUGGUUCAACCAGUAAGCAUCUAGUAUUGGUAUGAACUCUAAGGUCUCGAUUCCCCACAUCUAGGUACUCAGUUCAUUCUUUGCCAGUAGUUUAGAGUUGCUAGUUUGAUUCUGAUUAUAUGUAAACUAACCACUCCAGAAAUGAAGUAUGUAGGGUUCAACCUGAAUUCUUCUCCUAGUGAAGUCAACUCUAUUCUCUACCUUUCUUACCUUGAGCAAGUCUAUAAGUAACAAGUACUAUCGGUAUUCAACUCAAACUAACUAACUUGUAAUACUCAUCUAACUCAGGCAAUAGGGUGCUUAAUACUAAGAUAGUAAAUGAAGAGGGGCACUGGUAUCAGGCUUAGAUGCCCUGGGGUUAAGGCUGUUACUGACCGGUUUCAGGCUUAGCCCCUACCUUACACAACUCUAAACUCCCCUCUCUGACAAGGAUAAGAACAAGUAGGAAAUUCCAUAAGCAAUAAGUGGUAUGGUCUGCCCUGUAUUAUAGGAGAAAACGGAAUUAGAAGCUCUCUUAGGUGGACUUCUCCAGCUUCUGUAUCAAAGUAGGAAUUACUGAAUUUCACUAACAACUAGUAAUAAGUCAUUUAAGAAUUCCACAAAUAAGUCACAGAAUUGACCUCCUUCUCGCCAAACUCCCUUUGACAUAGAUGCUUGCCCGGCCUGGCCUCUACUUAGUCAACUCCAUUCUUAUUGUCUGCCUACCUCAACUCAAGCUUUCAUUAUAUAUUAGGCCCGCUCUUGCUUCUGUUGUAACUACUGAUUCUCGGGUUACUCCUGACUCCGCCUUCUCUUGGGAGUCCUGUCUUCAUGGCGGUACAACAGGGCACAGGAAUAGUUGAAAAGACUCUCACUUUAUAUACCGAUCUUUGCUUCACUGGCUUGGGCUUAUACUCCUUACUUCCGUCCUUACUUAUGCGUAUGCGCUUUAGGCUGCUACUGCUUCAUCUAGGUCUACCGCUCCCUGCUGAUAAAGUCAGUCUGUCGUUCCCUUAGCUUGGUCUACCUCUCUUUGUUUUGAGUAUUACUUUCCUUACUAGAAUUCUUUACUUGCAUAUUCAAUCUUUCGGGCAGGAAUCCGACUACUCACCAAUAAGACUUACCCCACUCACCGGGGGAAUACGAAUACUACUAUGGAAUACAGUAACCUAUGGAAAUACUAAUACCACCAAUAAGAGUUGAGCUUGGAACUAAGACUUGCACUAUUGAUCCGGGGAUCCUUACUUAUGAGGUUUAAGACCUUACCCUGUCUUUUAUUCUUUCACUGCAGGAACCAAGGCAGCCCCGUUGUCCACUUCAUUAUUGUAUUGAUAGCGUGAGUAUGCCACUAUAGGAACAUGAUCCGGAUGCCCACUACUGAAAUUGAUAUGUGUUUUUUCAUAUGAUAUUCAAUAGUCGUUUUCGUAUAGUAACUAGGUCGAAAAGGGUGACUUUUUCUUCUCUUUUUGGAGCCAAACAACUUCUCUUUUUCUAUUGGACUGGACGAUAGAGCUCUAGUUCCGGCUUCACUGAAGGAUAGGCGGGCCAGCAAUAUGGGCAAGUAGUUUACCAAGGAUACAAGAUGCCGGGAACCAGUAAUAGAAUAAAAGUAAGUGAAGCAAGAUCCGAGGGUAAUAGGCGAAGGCCGGGAAGGCGAGACAUACAUUCACAUUAUGAGGGCAGCUUUAGCUGCCAGCGAAUCCAAGUAAUUAGUAAAAGACUUUAGUGUGCUAGGGAGGGAAUUCCACUCUUAAGUAAGAUACAUUGGACUGGGAAUUAAUAAUGGAACUAGGACUUCUCAGAACCAGCACCCCAGAAUACAGAAUAUACUUACGCCACUGAUUGAUGAGAAUCGAAACACCCGCCUAGCCUAGCAAGACCAAGAAAGUAGGGUCUAAUUAAGAGUAAGCCUGUUUGACUGCAGCUAUAUUAUAAAAAGCAGUAGAUCAAUUCUCUGUUUCGAGUUAAGGUCUCGCCAGAACCUAGAACUAAAACUACCUGGCAAAGACAACUGCAAUAAAAAACAACAUAUAGUAUAUUUAUGUAGAGUUCUCACUUUAGAUGUGUUCGGCCAGUCAGUAAGUCGCCGUAGAGUAUAAAGGGCCCUUUACUGACUCCAAGGCUACCUUGCCUAUCUAUUACUCUUGGACUUAUUACUUCGAUUCUUCUAACACCAACUAUAGGCCUUCUCCCCUUCCAGUACUUGCAUUAUUUAUUGAUAGCUCUAGUCUGCUACUCCUCUGUCCCAGGCUUGCCUUACUUUAUCUAAGACUUACUUGUUUGACUCUAUUACUUCACUCAAUAAUCAUUGUUAGUCGAGUGGUUGUUUGGCGUUUAGUAGUGACUUUACCUGUCCUCGAUUCGUUAUUUUGUUUCCAAGGCUCUAACCAAUACAACUCGGCCUUAUACCCCAAACGGAGAAGCCAACUACAGCUCAUAGGGCUUUCAACCUCAACUAGGAGCCCUACUACUAAUAUCAGACCGGAGCUACUGGUUCUAAUACAAUAUCUGGGAAUAAAUCAACUUUCAGCAAUACUACUCGGACCUUCCCUAAAAUCUGACUUGCAAACUUCGACUCCGCUCUUGCAUUCUAUGAUUGUAGCUUCAAUCUCCUUUGCGCGGAUUGCUAGGAACUACUGGCCCGGGUAUGACAUGACUUUCUCUUUAUAGAAUAUAUAGGAUUGAACUGGCGCUAACAGGACAAUAACUAGAACCUGGGACCUCCUAGUAAGCAGGAACCAAACAACUAUACCGGAGAAUUUCGCUAAUAAGUAUAGGAUCUAAGUGGAAACAAAGGUGCUACUUAUACUUAAAUGAACAACUGGGGAUCGAACACUGCCUAGCAAGACUCUCACUAUUGCUUUUAGAGUACAACCACUAGCGAUAAGAGUUGCCCCCACUAAUUAGACUCCUUUAUCCUGUUAUGUUGCUAGUACCCUUCAUUCUAUAUUCGUAGCUUCAAACUUCUACUAGUAGCUCUUGACCUGGCAUUCCUUGGUUCUUAUGCUCCUCGGUGAAACCAUUGCUUCCGUGUUUUAGUAUGUAUUACUUCCCUUUCUUUCGUUCUGAAACUCAAUACUUGCAUCCUAUCUCCUAUGUUCGAUUGUCGGCCUACUACCAACUUACUCCUAUCGGAAUCAAACUAGGAAAUCCACUCGGUGAGCUCAACCCGGGCCAAGCAAAUAAUACUAAAUGAACUAAACUCAAAAAGGGGCCAGAAUAUUAAUGACACUACAAACAAGACUCUCGCAGCUGGCUUCCACGAAGAAAUAAAAGAAUACAGAAUUGGCUACUUAUUCCACAUGGCAUAUUUCCUAGAUACAAUACAGAGUAGCGGUAUUUACUUAAGCCUUCCUUUCAGUCCCUUGUGCCCGAGUUGGUGUCUAGCACCUUUCCUAAUAAUAAUGAAUUGGAUCACUGCUCCCUUGUCUAUGUGCCUCACGCUACUUACGGAAAUUAUGUAUUAUCACUUUUGCUCUUCUACUACUAGCUACCAGAUUGAACCGUGCCUAACAGACACCAGUGUGCUCUCUAAGACGACUUUCGCCCCGGCUAAUCAGAACAACGUCAAUUGUCAUAGGGAAUAGGAACAGUUACAACGAGACUUUACUGGCGGAUACAGAAUUCUACUUGUAACUAUAGGGCUGAUACUGCCGAUAGAAAGAUGGAAAAAGGAAAACAGGAAUCCAAUUGACUACUCCGCCAACUCACUCUUACUUUAAUGCCUAUAAGCCUGGCGCGCUACUGACUUCGAAGCUGACCUUAACGAACCAUACCCAUAAACUCCAUUCUGUAUUUCAAGAUUCAGUAUUACAGGACCCCUGGCACACCCUUUGACUAAUGAAUUGGAUUUUUGCUUUCCAACUGCCAACUAAUGGUUUCUCGUUCUUGAGCUACCGGCUUGGAUUCUGUAACUGGAAUACUGGGUAUUGUAUUUCACUAUUACAAAGUAGAACUGAGCUACUACUGAUUAGACUGCUCCACCACUAUAUCAAUGUUUAAACACAUUAUUAUUAAGUCAAUGAAAUAAGGCAUUGAAGAAAUCCAAUAUAGAUUCAAGUAAGUAAGGGAAGGCUAACUGGCAGAAGGGGCAGACGCAGACUCGGAUAAUAUGCAAUAAGUAUGGCAUGUCGGGGGGAGACAUUAAUAAGGCUUGGGCUACUCAGCGCCAUUCUUAGAUUGGUGAAUUGACUUCUGUAAGUCAGGUUUUGUUCCAUAGUAAGUUGAAUCUCUUAGAGCGCUGUUCUACUCUUUGACUACUCGGUUUCAUUAGAACUUUACUACUUGAAAGAGAUAUUCUAUGGUGGAUUUACAACUUUACAGAAAUAGGCAUAGGUGGGCGAGAAAGAGUUCCUACUCUAGUUCUGGUUCGAGUUAUCUUCUUAUAGUGGGUAGUGGAAUUUCUAUUGGGUAGUUUCAUAGUAUUCUUUGCUUGUAUAGUAGUUACUCGUCGUCUUGGUGGUCUUAUUUUGACUAGUUGAAAUACCGGGUUAGAGUUAAAGCUAUUAGGCUACGUUCUUUUACUGCCUUCCUUGAUUCUAAGUUAGAGUUAAGGUCCCAUCCGUACUAGCCAGCAGCUGACGCUGCCCUCUCCUUAUUAAGAGCAUAGUUCUCUAGGCGCCGCCGCUUUGUAAUUCCUUAUUUGAAGACCGGAUCAGCUGUUAAAGAACGAAAGCAAAGAGAUAUGGAUGUCGUGUCCGAGUAGUUGGAAUCAAAGUAAAGGUAGCUAGACUUAAAGCAAGUAAGGAAAGGCUCACUUCUGACCUGAACUAAGUAAUGUUAUGUUAGUCGCAGUUGGAUUCCUGCUUGAUAGAUUCGGUCUUGGAAGUAAGUGCGAAAGCCUGUUAGAGUAGCUUGCCUCUUGUUGUCAGUAGAUUGAUUCCUCAUUAAUAGAGAGAUUACCCACCUAGGAGAGAAGCCUUGUAAGCACUAGUAGAAUUCCCUAUAUGGAGUUAUCGUAGUAUAAGCCUAUGAGCCCGACACCCAUUCUGACCUUCCCUGCCUGAAAUCUAGAACUAUCCAUUUGCAAACUGACAUUGCUUGAUCUUAUUCUGACUAUCCGAUAUCCGAUUCUGACUCGCUAGGUUGAGUAUCCUUCCUGGGCUAUCAACAACAUAAUUGGAAGAAAACCACCACCAACAGGACUUCCGCUCAUACUACUUUGAUUUAUACCUGGGCCAGCAAUACCUCAAUUCUUGACUACUCUCUUAGGAAACCAGUUGUUUGUCUCGUCUUCUCAUUCUUUAGUUAAUGAUCGAUCCGUUUUACUUACUUCAAAGCUAAGCUGGCUUUCCUUUAUUUACUCCGAUACUAGUACCGAUUAGACUUUCGCUAUUGAUCUCAAAGCUUGCUCCACUGGCUAUGUGCCUCCCCUUCCCUUCCCAAACUCUGACUCCUAUGACCUUCAAUACCUGUGUUAGAGCAUCAGCCUGUAGCAACUGCCUAAAAGUCUGGAAGUUAGUCCCUUCCUACUAGCUCCCUAGGCGCUCUGACUUGAACUCCCUUCUUGCUGUACAUGCUUUCAAUCUUAUAUUCCUUUCUCUUGGCCUGUGACUCAUACCUUGUUCUCCGCCUAUGAAGCCUUACCUCAGCUAUUUAUCUACUGAAUCGGAUCCAGCUUAACACUAUCCUUCUGUGCUUCCAUUCCCGGGCUUCCACCUGUCACCUGUCAUUCUUUAUUCACUCAUUAGGGCUUAGACCUAGGCCUGUCCUGUUAUUCCUAUACUAUAUAAAUAAGUAAAAGAGUGAACCUACCUCUCGCCCACCUACGCACCCCUCCCUAUGAAAAGUAGGAAAUACACCUAUACGCCUAUGCCCCACCAACGAAUGAAACAAAGAAGUCAGACACUCCCCACCCACUAACUCGGGCUAACACACCGCUAACCGACUUGAACUAGUGGGCAAGCAACGUACAAUCAACGUACAACUAAGUAAGAGCCAAAACAAGUAACAACUAGUCAAGCACGGAACGAGACCAACCCUACUCUACUAUAUUGCAUUGCGUGUAUCAAGGGUAGAGGUUUGAUAUUCUAAAUCAGAAUGAAAUCAAUUACUUUAGAGUUAAUCCUAUGUGUUUAGCCUGGAAAUGCAUCUAGAAAUGUAUAAGUAGAAGAUCGAAGCGGAAACAUCAGAAGUUCACUCAGAAGUAAGGAUACCUCUGUCUAAGUAGACCAAUAAUAAUAUAGCGUACACAUAAUCAGAAUUGAGGCUUAACUACUUAACUUAGGGCCGAUGUAAUUGAGCCAACACCAAUGAGACUAUAGCCCAGAACUUGUACUUCCCUUACUGCCAUAUAAAGCGGCCCUGCUCCACGCAAGAUAAGGCUAACUGCCCUCACCUUAAAACUGCAUUUCAUCUUCGAUUCUUAUAAUGUAAACAAAACUCUGGUCUAUCAGACUCACUACCUAUUCACUAAGUCUCCCUUUUCUAUAUCUCCUUCUGUUACGGGACCCACCUAGUGCAUCUAACAAUAGAUUAUAGCUCUACCCUUACUUGCUAGAGAACUCAGCUUACUACUAAAGGAAUGACUUCUAUUUAUAAGAGAACAACUUGAAAGUCAUAUUGACUUGACCACCAACAAGACUGACUUUACUAGCGGGUAAAUCCACUGCUGCUAACAGGGCUUUUGUUAACUGCUAUCAGAGUACUACGACUACCAAUACUGGAACUGGAACCGGGAAUCCAACACCCCAGUCUAAUACCUGGAACAAUAAAGAAAGAAAUCCAUUAGUGCUUCUCAGAACGUAGCUACUGCCUAUGAAAGAAAGCCUACUGCCACUAAAGAGCUUGAAGUCCUUGGCCACCUUCUAUGGUUCUUCAACUAACUAAAAACCAAGAAAAGAACAAAGAAAUUGUACUCGGGGAGAUGUAUAGAGACUACUCCAGCCGGUAUAUAGGGCAAUACUCACUACCAAGAGCAAACAAAGCUUUAAAGCAGUAAUAGCUUGCAAGGUAGACAGGAGCUGCAUCGCAGUACACGAGUACAUACACAUUAACGCUCACGGGGGUGUAGAACAAAUGUGCUCCAACCAUCUUGCAGAGGGGGAAGUCGCUCAUACCGAGGGAGAUAGCCUAUCACUCUUAGAAUUCGCCUACGUACCUCUAAUAAGCACCAAACGGAUGAAACUCAACCUAACCUAGCGCUUCUAAGCCAACAACAAGAACAGGAACAGCCAAGGAAAAGAGGUACGCAAGGGAGACAAUUCCAUAUAUGAAGAGCCAGAUCUUGUAACUUCAAUUGACUUAAGGGCUUGACUUGCAACUUCAAUAAGAACAGGAACAGGGGAUUCCACUCCUAAUGAAAGGGAUUCAACUACUCUACUACUAGUUGGUGCUGUCAACCAGUUCAGUCUCUUCUUAUAAUGUAUUCGUUGCUUGGCCUUUUCAACUGAUACUGUCGAUAAACAGACUCGCGAACUACUGCUACCAAGUCUCCCCUCUCCCGCUUCCAAUCUAAUAUUAAUGCUCAUAGGUCUGAUUCCGCUGCUAACAAGACUUCUGCCCGUGUCAACAAAACAAUGCUUGAACUUAUAACCCUUACUGUGUAUCUAAGCCCGUAGCUAAUACCUUUUUUCACUAUGCCUUUCCUGCCUUACAUGCUUUAACUAAUGGUCUAAUUCCCGUAGUUCACCUCUCUUAGCUUAGCCCACCACUCCUAGCUAUCAAACUGAAACUAAGGCCUUACACUCAUUCUUUUAGUGCUUCUUUUCAUUCUGAUUCAGUUAACUUAUAAUAAUGCAAAUAUUAAUUAAUAAUGAGUAAUCUUGCGCCGCUUACUUGUCUAGUGUCUUGGUCCGAACACAUCAGUCACUGACCUAAAGCCUGACUCACCGGGUAGGCAACCUAGAACACCGCUCCGCCUUAGUGUCUUGCUUAUUAGUUUCAAACUAAAGCUGGUACUUCUUAUACUGUAGCUAUUGAUCUAACCAAUACCGGUAAGAAGCACACUCAUAACUAGUAAAUCACUACUACCCAGAUAGCCUUAACUCAAAGACGGCAAUCCAACAACUAUUGAUGAGACUGUAGCUACUGACUACUAGAUAACACUACUAAUAUAUGGAAUGCACGACUACCCACUAGAUCAAACACUGCACUAUGGAAUUUGGAGCUGCUGCUGAUGAGACUUGAACCAAUGCUAAUCAGAACGAAAACACCUGUAAGAAUAGCUAGCCUUCUAAGACAACCUAGUAAGCCCUACCUCCUUUCAGCAAGUAAGGGCAAGCUCAUAAGGCAAUAGAGCAAGGAUAGGGAUCAUAACUACAGAAACAGAACCCAAUUAAUAGUUAUAAGACGAAACAUAGGCUGAAACUCCAAGUAGAGAAUAAAGGUAGUGUAAAAGACAACUACAAUAAAUAACUCCACAUAAUGUACUUAGUACGAGUUUCUUACUUCGGAUGUGGUUAUGGCGGCAGGUAGCGAGUUGGGUCUCGUGCUCCUGUCUUUUGUUCCUUAACGCUGACUGUGGAUCCUCUAUUGAACCUGUUAGUCUGCCUUUGCUUGUGAAAAGUCUUUAGCUACUUACUUGAUUUCUUGUAAUACUGCCUAUGAUCCUUACUAUACUUUGACUUUGAUUCUCUACUUUAUCUUGGGCCCGGCACCCUUGCUUGCUAGUUAAAGAAGCCAACUACUCAUUCGAAUAUGAUAACUCGAACCAGGGGGUAAUAACAACCAAUACUUAGGGGAAUCAUAACAACCAGCACCCAAGGGAAUCCAACUAUGGGCAAACUGACUUGAGCUACUACUUCUAAGAAGAGAUCUGCCCUACCUAGCUAUCAUUCUGACUAUACCUUUGAUCAGCCUACCCUUCCUGACUCUUAUUCUUUACCUAGUGAUCCGGAUCCUUACUCAUUUGGUUUAGAACCCAACUACUACUAAUAAGGGUUGAGCACAGAACAUAGACUUAUAUAAUGUCUAGCGAAUCUUCCUAUUACUGAUAAAAUACCCGAACUUGGUUAAGCAGACUGCCGCUACACAUUACCUGUUAUGUUGAUGCUUAGGUUUAAGUCCUUCACUGCUUAGUUUCAUCUUUGUUACCUCGCCUUUCCGUCUGCGACUACUUGAUCUAAGGCUAACUCCGCCUCUCCUAGCUAUAAAACGGAAAUGACUUAUUUACAUUCCCGCUUGCCCACUACUUUCUUGGGUUCUGUAUUACCUAUUAUUUCACUGCUGACUUAAAAGCUGUCCUUACUCGCUAUAGGUCUCACUGUCCUUGCUUCGAUUCUAUGUAUUCUUCCUGACAUCUCUGCCUGUUAGUUAAAGAAUAUCCACCCUACUAAUACUGAUUUCAAUCAUCGCCAACAAGCCUUUGACUACCACUCACACGAUCCCCGCUUACAUGCCUCUACUCCCUUAGGCUUUCAGCACCCGAACCCACUUCUUUACUUAUAGCUUAAAAGCCUCUCCUCUGUCAACAACUACUGAUGAAACGGGUUCCCUUGCCCACCUCUGUUGGAUUAUACCUUGCAUACCUAGACUCUAAAGUCACUUAGGAUAUCCCUUUGAGCCCUCUCCUCUUUCUCGCCUACCCAUCUAUAUCUGACAUGGCAAAUGAUUCUAUUUCCACUUUACAACUGGACCAGACCACUUACUAAUGCUAAGGUAGGGGCAUACAUACUAUACUAUAUUACUUAUUACAGGCAAGGAAGCACUAACGGUAUGAAGACUCUCAUUGCAGCUGACUUUGGCAAGCCUCGGAUCCUUCUCUUGCAACACCUGAUAGAGAGUCGACAACCUCAACUCACACUGCUGAAGAAUUCUUAGUUGACUCGGCAACUUACAAUAAAUACUCUGUGCUCUCACUUUUAUAAGCAUUACUCAUCCUAUAGCCAAGCAGUAUAUCCUGGGAAGACCUUUGCUUAUGGAGCACUUAUCGUUUUGGCCUUUCUUUGCCUUUGUAGUAGUGACUGCAUUGAUUCUUCAAAUUCUAUAAAUGAUUUCUUAUAUAUUAUAUAAUAGAACAAUAGAACUGAUGAAACUGCUAAUGAGUCUGACCUAGAACUGAUGAAACAGCUAAUGAGGAAUUAACAGUAAAGCCUAACUGCUUCCCUUUCUGACCCAACUAAGACAGAUUCCACUGGCAAGGAAGCACUAAAUAGCCCCGGGGUGAAGACGAAACUAGGGAUGAAACCUACUCCUAGUAAGCGCUAACCUAGGAACUCCGCCUAUAUUCCUUCCCCCCUCUCUCCUUCCAACAAGCCCAGCAGCUGUCAACUAUUGACUGACUGAAUGAGGCCGGCUCCUCUACCGUAGUUAACAAAUACAGAAAUGGACUAGCGGCCCUUUAGCCAUGAAUACAGGACUCAUAGGGGCACCGAACUAUAAAGACAGAAAUCAACCCUGCUUAAUUGACUCAUUGCCCGGACUGCCGCCCGAACAAAGCACUUGGUGUUAACUCUAUUAUUAACUGACUGUUUCUUGUCUGCUUGGCCGGUAUUCCACUGGCAUUAAAGAAUGAAACUUGCUGAUGGCUCCUAUAGCUCGUUAAAGAAUCUAUCUCCUAUAGCUCGUUAAAGAAUCUAUCUCCUAUAGCUCGCUAACUUUCAUUCUCACUUGCGGAAUUCUUAUCCUAUAACUCCGCCCCUAACUCUAAUAAGUGUUCACCCCGACCCGAACGAAACUUUCCACUUACUUUACCUCGAACAGCAUCUUUUCUCUCUCCUAUAGCUCUGGCAACAGGCAAUACUUCUGACUUUGUUAACUACUGACGAGUUUCAUUCUUACUUGAUAACUGGAACUGGGGCAGACCUGCUUGCGCCAUCGGAUCUAGCUUCUAUUCCACCUCUUACCUAUGUCCUUUAGUAGUAGUAGCACUGGUAGCAAUGCCAAUAUUACCCUGCAAACUGGGAAUUCCGCAUCUGUAUUCUGAUACGACUUCUUCAACACCAAAGCUAUCCUUUCUUCACCGACUACACUAGCACCUAACCUAUCUUAUACUGGGCCAAGCAGCCAAGCAACGGCUACUGAUGCUGAUUCUAUUUCUUCCCUUGAUUCUUCUGUCACUCCUAUUGAGAUUUUCCCUUGAUUCUUCUGUCACUCCUAUGCUCUCGAUCGCGUAUAUAGUCCCUUGUUCUUAUUCUUUCUAUGGCAUCUUAUCUUCUCUUUGGAACCCCUGAUUUCAGUAUGAUUGAGGAUCCCCUUCAUUCUCGUAUGUGAUGAAUCCAUAGAUGAUCAAAGGAAAUCCGAUUUCGGCAUGAACCCGCUUACAACUCAUUAUUGAUUGAACCCGCUUACAACUCAUUCGUGAUUGAACCCGCUUACAACUCAUUAUUGAUUUCCCCUGUUAGUCUGCCUCUAACUCUACUUGGUUUCAACCUUGUUGAUUCUUUUCUGACUCUUUCCUAUGCUAUGGUUAAGGCGUUGGUGCACAUUCCACGGUUCUUACUAUUAAUAGGCGUAUUUCUCUUCCAGGGUUUCGAGGUUCGAUCUCACAUUACAUUACACUCACAUUACAUUACAGGUUAUCGAGUAGUUGCUAAGUUCACUUGUCUCUGCUUGUCUGUUCUUUUGAGUUUCUCUUGUUUGAUUACAAUACCCUAGCCCUACCAGAACAAGUAAGUAAACGAAUUCUUCUUUCUGACCUCUACUCCCAGGAUUGGAUACCUUGCGAAGGAUACCCUGGCUAAGAAAUGCACUGAGAAAAGUAUAAGUACGAUCCCCUAAGGCAUCAGAUAAGGUACGAAUGAAACUACUCAUUCAACAUAUUUGUAUAGGACCUACAAACGGAAAGUAAGCCUGCCAUUCCUCACUCUAAAGCUACCGACCUCAGAUCCGUGCCUAUCCGCGCCUUUCUCUCAGCUUUCUUACUGCCCUGGCUUUCAUGUCUCCGUUCCUGCUACUACUGCUUGCAACUCCUAUGUGCGAGUCUUCUUCUCCUUUCUUUCAAGUAGUAAAUACAGAGUGCAACUCAACAGUACAAUAAUGACUCAUAAGUAGGGAAUUUUACCCUAAAGCAAGAAUCCAUCAAGUAAGUCACAGAGCGAAACCCAAUAGUCAAAGAAUAAUGGAACAUAGGAAUGCCGGGCAGGAAAGUCAGCCUCACUGUUUCCAUUAAGACUAGAAGGAAGGAUCGGCAGGUUCACUCUCGAACUGUAGAAUACACGACAUGGUUCUCAUACUUUAAGAGGGAGGCGGCCGGUAUUCUCUUGCUGAUUCUCUUUGUGGGCGUUAUUUAAGUCUUAGAGGUGAUAGUUUUGUUUCCCCUACUAAUGAGUUGAUUUCUCCGACUCAAGAGUGUAUUUCCCCUGCUUGAGCUUAGGUCUUAUACCAAUGGGGAAACUCUGAUGCUUGCUACUCAAACUAUUAGUAUAUAACUAGAUGCGCUAGCUGUACAGUACAGACUUAGGCUUUAUACUUCCGGUAUAUAUAGUUCACUUGUGAGCCUGUGCCCCUCGUAAUUCUUCUUCUCUUCUUGCUAUACCUUAUUUAGCCUGCCUUUCAUUCCUAUACUAUUAAAUAUUCAUCUGAUUCCUAUGCUAAUAAGGAUCACACUACUGCGGAUGAGGCUACUACUACUUAAUUUCAUUCAUACUUAUCAGAAGGAACACCUGGGCCCUAGACCAUACCACCUUGCUAGAUUAGAUCAUAGUCACCUACCCUAUUCUCAGUAUCCAAACUUCAGAGUCACAUUCUUAUGUUCCGUACUCCAUUCUGUAAUUCUGAUUUCUCAUAGAAAAACCAUAUCCUUCAUCUACAUUUAUAGGAUUAACUACGGAUUAACUACAAUAACACAUAGGAUUAACUACCAAUUAUGGAAUUCUUAUUUGCCAUAGAAAAACUAUAUCCUUUAUUGCCUAACACCAAGCUAUGGAUUGCCGCCUGCCACGCAUUUUCCUUCGUAGGAGCAGCAUUUUCUCCAGUCAUUUCACUAAUAGGUGUGAGCAACGGAGAAUUACAAUAAGGGGGGCGGGUUUGCUUCUUUAGUUUGAGCUUCAAACUUCGACUCCAGAUCUAACAUCUAGCUUGUCACUUUCAUUCUCUGUGUUGUUCCCUUCCAUUCUUAGACUUAUUUCUGCAAUGCCUAGUUAUGAGUUAAAGCAUUAGUUCUGAGCUAAGGCCUCGUGCACCUCUCGGAAGCCUUAAGCAGGAGGUUGACUCUACAGAAUUUCCCUCAGUAGUUUAAGAAUGGGACUCAUCGGUGAGCUAGUAGGAGCCUAAGAAUCAAACCGGGGAAUGAAAGAAUGAAGCAGUGUUGUUACGAGAAGAAACAGUGUUGUCUCAAGGAACCGAACCGUAGCAAGCAGGAAGGAAAGUGUAGUGAAGGGAAUGGGGAAUCCAAAUAAAGGGAGACAAUUCCAUGUGAGUUGCAACGAGACCCUUAUUUUGGAAAGGGUGCGCGAGCAGAGCAAGCAAGUGCAAUUCCGGGUCGGUCUUUCAUCAAGUGGAAAGUCUGGAUCAAGAUCUUAAGCGGGAAGAAACUGACCUUAAAGUGGAGUGGAAUCUGUUUGUCUUAGAGAAUGUCCUGUAUUGCCUUCACUUGCUAUCCUUGCUCAAACUAAACGGAUUGCCUUUACUUCUUAUGGGUCGGUGAUUGGCUUUCCCUUGUAAUUGAGUUCAAGUCAAGAAGUGUAUAGAAAAAGACAAUAAGAGUCAAAGAUAGAUUCACUUCAUACAGUUUCUAGUAAAGGGAAGGGAAAGAAUUCAGUAAAGGAUUGGAAGCCCUAAGUCAAUCAGUAAGUGAAUCCCUGACCUCCAGUAAGUUAAUCCGUUGCCCUCAAUCCUGACCUCACAGGUCAUAUUCUUUCUUUCUUACUAUCACAGCUUCAACCAAGAAGGGGGCACUCAAAGUUCUUCCAGAAGCCGGGGGGCAUGUCAGAGGAUGAUUUGCAGGAGCGCACGCUGCUUAGGCAUUGGGUACUUCCGCUUGUGUCGUGUUACUAUACUGUACUGGCUUCGGAUUAUGUUACUAUUGAAGAAGCCCUUUCAGGCCCCGUAGUAGCAACAGAUUGGCGUGCCCAUAAGGACGUAAACUCAGUUCUCCAAAAGUAUGGUUGACUUUUUCAGAUUGACGAUCGGAUCGCCUCCCUUGGUUUGGACUAUACAGCUCCUUUAUGAGUUCCUCACAACUCGGGUCAUAAUUGGGGCGGACUCCUUCUCGGAUGCAAUGCAGUGGUCUUCUCUUUCUAUGGGUUUUCUGCAGUGGAACCUGUCAAGUUAAGUAUUUGAAUUCACAGUGGGACGUUAUCAAUCCAAAGUGGACUUUGGGGUCAAAGCCAAGAGGUGGUGCCCCGUCCGUAGCCUUACGUUCUCUCUCCUUCUUUCUCUCCUGUCUGGUUUUCCGGUAGGGGCGAAUAGCAUUCCCAGAAGUGGACAUUCUCUGUCUUUUCCAUUCUAUCUCUCCCCCAGCCCAGCGACGCAUUUCCCUUACUCCGUUAAUUCAAUAUCUGUCUUUCGCCUGCGAAUCCUUAUCUCUAUCCCUUUGUUGAUGAAUAAAGGAGCACGUGGUGAAUACUGAGAACAUGAAUUCCCUUACGCUGUUGCGAAGCAAUUGGAAUUCUGGAUCAUCGAAGAAUGGAAAAAUGCGCCUAUCUCUAGGAAGACCGUUCAUCAACUCAUUUCUCGGUCUGGUCAUCAAAAGUAGAAUUUGCACUUUGUUGUCACCAGCCGAAUCUCUGAGAAGGAUCACCUGCUCCUGUUCAGCUGCACCUCCCACUAUGAGAAGUCAGAACUUAUAUGCUGUGUCCUCGUAAUUAAUAUGUUAGUUUGCUCGCGGUAAUUGUGGCCUAUCGGGAGAAUCGAUGACGACUUGAAAAACUCCCUUUCCGUUUGUCUAUGUACGCGACCUUUCUUAUAAUAAGAAAGAGACACAAGAAGAGGCAGAGAGAGAGCUCAGAAAAAAGUCAAGGAGAGGUCUUCGGACAUUCAGUCCAAAUCUAGGAAAAGGAGUCAUGUAAUAUGCAAUCAGAGUGCUUACUGCAUUUUCUCCAUGUCUUCGAGCUCUCGGUUUAGUAUGAUUUUCAUCCAAGCAAGCCGCUUUUCUUUGCUUUUCCCGUAAAUUGGAGUCGAGAAAGAAGCUCUAUCCUUACUCAUAAGAUCAGAUUCAAGUUAGAAAGAAGGCCAUCCAUUCAUUUUCAUGGACAAGGCUGGAAAGGAAGUUCCAUUUCUUCUAGUCUUUGUUUAGAAUUGACUUUCUUUUGAGUAGUUGCAACGUGGGAUUGCAGAUAUUGCCAUUGUCUCAGAAGUCGCAUCGCAAUAGUAUAGAAAAGCGCCUAUAGUUCCUAGUGUCACUUCGAAUAUCGACUACUUUACUGAUUCCAUUUCGAAACUCUGAGAAAUAGAUCCUUACCGAUUGCCCCAUUCUCACGUGUUGCUGUUUCUUUGGUUGCCUUCCAUCCCGUAUUGUUUGAAAGGAGUGCUCAAGUUUGUAAGUUAGCUCUACGGACAAGAGCUAGUCACAACAUAAUGAUAGGUGUAAGAUAUUAUUGCUAUUUGAGACAGGCGCUAAAUCGACAGAGUCCCGUUGCUUGGCGUCUGCUUGUUCUAUCCAUUUCUGAAGUUGAUCGAAAGUUGUUGAAAGGUUAUAGUUAUAAGGAAGUCCCUCCCAUCUCUUUUGUCUUAUUACUUUAGAUUAUGAUAUUGAUAGUGUCCUAUAGUGUUUUUAGUGGAAAUAUGCUACCUGAUAAUUACUAUAGUUGUCAAGAAAGAAAGUAUGCUUUAAAGGUGCGCAGCAGCAAACAUUAGAAGGUAUAGAUUUUCUGGUAAUAAGAGUAAUAGAUAGAUGAUUCAAUUCAACUAGCAGGGGAACCAUCAAGCGCAGCGGGAACGGGAAGGAGAGUUUGCCUUUCAAUCUGCAACUACUAUACAAGUUUCUAUUAGUUGUCCAUUCAAUGAUUCUCUUCUUUUUGUUUGUGCCGGUACACUUUCUUAGCGCGCAUUUCUUGAGUAAGGGCACCCAUAUUCUAAGAUGACUUUCAAUCCACAUUAGAUAAGAGAACUUUUCAAUCCAUUAGUUUCAUAAGUAGAAGCUGUGAGGUUCGGUAUAGCCAGCAGUAAUAGGUAUGUAUAGGAUGGGACAUCAUUCAUUAUCUACGUUUUGCACUCAAUUCUUUUCAACAAGCAAGGGAAAGGGCUAUCGUGGACCACAAGCUUUAGCGACCGGACCACUUUAAGGCACCUACAAACAAUAUAGGGCAAGCAAUACUUCACUUUCCGGCUUGAAGCACAGAGAGGCUGGCUUAUUUUGCUCUUCAUCAUUAUAUAGUUAAGAGUAUACUAACAUUUGUUUCCUAAGCUCGGGUCGGGGUGCUAACAUGAGUUUGCUAAGUUCAUAAGUGCUGUUGUUAGUGUGCGAAAGCCUAAUGUGUAAUUGGUUUAGUGGUAUGGCAUAAGAAUCCAAAAUCCAUGAUGAAAGCUAGAGCGCAAAGGUCAAGUUCACAAAAGGAAUAGCUGCUCUCUCCGCUGGGCUGGGCGCUAAGGAAGACCAUCAUCUCGAUUCCGUUCAGGCUGUCAACAACUGUAAACUACUCCCUUCCCAUCAACCACUUUCCUGGAAUUCCCUAUACACUAGCACCCGACCCUACAUCCACUGUUUAUUUGAUUGAUUGAUUUCCCACCGACUUGAGCCUCUGUUCCCGCUUUUUCCGUUUAUGACCUUAGAGUUCCAUUCUGAUUCGAGUCCAGUGCAUCGGCUCCCUACUUAUAAUCUGGAUUCGACUGAGUGAGAGUCCUUUCCGAGAGACGGAACCUCUGCACGAGAUGAGGCUUCUGUAUAUAUGAAAAACUCAAACAACACUUUCUGCUCUAACAGCUUACCUUGAAAGCGAAGGAACAAGUUAACUCGCAACGGCUGCAAAGACGAACAAGCAAAGAGAGGGUAAGACUAUGGAAAUCCUUCUAUGAAGGAAGGCAUUCUGAACGUCUACGUGGAAUAGUCUAGUUGAUGGACAGGACAUCGUGUAUUUAUAGGCUCUAACAAAACGAAUGGUUGCAUGGUGGGAGGUUUCGCAAUGCCUCGCAUCCGUCACUACUUUGAAAUCGCUUUAUCGUUCUAUUGAUUGAGCAUUGGAGGAAAAGGGGAGAAAUCUCUGUAAUAAGAUUCUGUCAAGGACUUAUAAGCAUGAAUCGCACAGAGGUACUCUCAAAGAUCAAUCACUAUACGAUAGAAUUACGAAAAAAGAGGAAAUCAACAUGGAAUUUUGGUCGAAACCCUUGUUUGUACAAGGCUCAUCACAGGAGAUCUAGUACAUCGAGCUACAAACCAUAUAGUAAAAGCGCUCAGACGAGAAAAAACUCAUAGAAUAAUGGAAAACAAUCAGGAGUUCCAGAGGUCGGAACGGCGGCUCAGGUGAGAUGAGACAAAGUCAACUCGGCAUGCAAGCAAACCGAACGUGUCUCGUAUCCAUCAGCCAAACGGGUUACCUGUAAGCGUAGAGUUAUUACCCAGUCCUCAUUCAGUAGCGGUGCGAGUAUAAGUAGUUGGAGGUGAUUCAAAUACAAGUACGCGCGGGAAGGAACUGAAGGUCGACGAGAGAAGAUGUAUCAGCCGUCUCACAGGAUUAGACUCCGUUUCAAUAGAAUCCGCAGUUAUAGUGGGGACCGGGACAGAAUCAUUUCCCUCCUAUGCGCUAAGUACUGAAACGGAAUAAUUAGACAGGUAAAGAUGGAUUAGGGUAACUCACCCACAUAGUGCUCAAGUGUCAUAAUUCCAUAAUGGAGUUUCUGUUCCCUACUAGCAAUUCUAAAAAGAACAACUAUGGGAAUGAUUCAAACGCGGUUAUUCUACGCAAAUCUAAGAUAAUAGACCAAGUUAGAUGGGAAUCGCCUCUACAAAGCUUGUUUUAUUUAUAGAGACUUAGUAAACAAGGAAAGGAUGCGUUGAGGCCCGCGCCCUUGAUACGUAGCUGAUCUUUAGCUAGUUUCUAAUCUUUUGACCCAGCAGUGGUAAACUAAUAUCGGAAGUAUCCUCGGGACGGAUCAAGGUUCUACUUUCAUUGCUUCAAGAAAAACGAAACCAGAUGGGGAACCUUUUAGGACACAUGCGAACAAUCAAACUACGACCGCCACAAAGUCUUCGUAUGCUAUUCCAUUCCUCACCCAACCCAAACGUCCUCAGUAGGGAUCACCAUCCAUGCGCUCUUUGGUGCUACCUUAGAUACAACUGUAUACUCCCAUUGAGCAUUCGAACAGAUGGCAUCUAUGCUAUCAGCCAACAACUAGGAUUCCUGAUUGUCGCCCGCUCCGAGCAAACUAGGGGACAACACGUCCUCGAGACAUAGCCUUACCAGAUGGGCGAGACAUAGCCUUACCAGAUGGGAAGGAAGAAGGGAGCCGCACUAGUACUUUCGGGGCUUACUAAGGGCUUCUUUCUUUCCAGGCGUAACAACAUUUUCAUUGGGGGUCGCACCAUACGCUUUUGACUAAGACCUUUUAUGGAUAAGGACAAGAGGCUCGUUACCAAGCUCGAUGCUUUUAAUAGGAACCACGAGGCCUCAUAUGCUGCCAGAGGUAAGUUAAGGCUCUUCCUUUUUCCCUUUCUCUUUAAAGAAAAAAGAAUCCGAUCCGAUUUGCAAGGAAGUGACACAAGCUCCUUAUUGCCAGUCUUAUGUAUAGGAAAUCAUGGGCCAAGCAGACAAGAUGAAUAAGUGCUGUGCCCUUAAUUAAUGCCAUGGGUUUGAAAGCCCUAAGUGGUACCAGUGGAAUCAGUAUUAGUUUACCUUAUAUUAAGUAACACUAGCGGCAGUAACGAAUAACAGUGUCGUACGAGUGGAAAGGCUUUCAGCACCUUCUCGUAAUUGGCUAGUCUAGUCAAGGGAAACUUACACUCAUGAAGGAGCAGCUAGAAGGAUCAGAGUAUUACUUAUAAGCUUGAGAAGGAUAAGAGUAUGAUGAGGAAGGUGGAAACCAGAGGAUAAGAAUGCAGGUAUCAAACUUCAGACUUAUAUAUCUGCGGAGCUAUAAGACAAGCCGAAAAGAGGAUUGAGCUAUUCAGGUAGAAAACGUAAGAAGAGGAUUGAGCUCUGUUUAUAGAUAUUGGUCGCUAACCCUUAAUACCAGAAGCAUAUUUGGAACUGGUCUAAGCGCAAGGAAUCAUCUCUUCUUCAGCUAACGUACGAGUCUGUCCUUUAUUUCUGUUUCGCCCUUGUAACUGAGUCCGUUGAGUUUCUAUCUUCUGCUAAUGGAGUUAAGUCAUGUGAGUUACUGUCUUCAACAUUUGGUGUUAGCCAGCGCCAAAGUGCCUUAGUGCAUUAGUCAAUGUCAAGAGCAAGUCAACAAGUAUUAUGGAAAAUGACACACUGAAUACUUCCUUUAGGCAAGAAUCAAGUACUUUAGUCUAUGGUUCGUUCGGUUAGGAAGCAACGCUGUGUUGUUUACCCUUGUGCAAGAGAGAUUCCAUGAAUUCUGCUUCUGGGUUUCCUUCAGACUCAACAGUACCAACAAGACUAUGUUUAGUAAGGGAUGGGAAGGGAGUUGGGAGAUGUAGACAGUUCCUGUUCCGUUUCUAGGUCUAUUCCUCAAUUAUAUAACACAUCAGUAAGAAAUGAAUGUUUGACUUCCGCUAAGUAUACAGUACAAACAAUCAAAAGUGGUAGAGUGAGCUUACUUCGGGCUGCCCCUAUUCGUUCUUAAACAAACAAGUCUGGAGUGAGUUUAGUUUCGGGGGGAACAAGCUUAGACUAAAUAAGCGCAGGAGUGAGAGGUGCGAAAGAGAAAGCUAAGCCUUACAUUCAACAAGCAUUAAGGUGUUUGUUAAUAAAUUCAUUAUGGAAUAGGGGUCAAUGAUACACAGAAAAAGAAGCAAGCAGUAGAAAGAAAGUCAGCAAACUUUUCUUCAAGCAAUAAUUCACUGGUACUGGUUUUGGCAAAUUCGCUAAUGCUAGUUAUGGCGCUAACUGAGCUCACCCUUAAGAUACUCGUACUCAGAGCACUUCAGAGGAUAAGGCAAUUAUGAAAGUCAGGCAAUCAGGCUUCAUUCGCUGUCGCCAACAAAGCAUUAAAAGCAUUCCUAAAAAGGAAACAGGUCGUAUUUAUGAGCCAGAGCAGAGGUAUUAAUUCAGCAAGUAAGAAGGAAAGGAGAAAACGUUCCAUUAUUGACUGCCCGACGAGUGGUAAUUGCCUGUUUCUCUGCAGAGUAGCGGUAACUCAACUCCCUUAGCUUACUUGUCUUCUACUAUAUGCGCUAGCAAUUAUGUAUUAUGGCCCUCAGGUUUCUUAGUCAUUAAAGGAAUGCGCUACAUCUAUCUCUUAUCCCUUGCCCACCUAUCCCUUUUGUUAUCUUACAGCGACCUAUCUCUUCGAUCACCUACUUCUUUCUUUAUUCAUAUAUAUUAUGUUCUGUUCUUGCCUCCAUCUCAUCUAACUCAGGCUACAAUUCAUUUCACCCUGCUGGCUCUGCUGGGCUUGUGGAAUUCCCGAAUUGACUAGCUAACCUGCCGUUCCUAUAGCUCGCUACCUCUUUCACUCGCUAUGUCUUUACUUCAGUAUAUACCAUUACUUCAGUCUAUACCUUAUGCUCAAUAAUAAAGUAUUGACUCGGUGUAAGAAAGAUUCCUGUUUGACUCGGCGUCCGGAAAGAAAGCUGUUAGAGCUGUUUCUGUUGAAAGAGAAGAAUGACUAGUUCCCCUUCGACUUGAAUCCGUGGUUGCAACGAUAGAAUCGGCCGUUCAAAAGUCAGUAGCAAUUGGUUCUUCAAGAAGUAUUGUUCCAGCUCGAAUAGAAGAUUUGUAUAUAGUUGCUCGUCGGGCAGGAAAUGGAACUGAUUGUCCGUCCCGCUGAUGCUCUUGAAACUAAAUCACCCUUACCUUUAGCCGACCUCAACACUGAUUUAAUUGCAGAUGAAACUCCAACUGGAAAUCCAUCUACUUCAGUACAAAGAGCUACCUGGGUUGGGUGCUAGUGGUUUAGUAUAUGGAAACCGUUUUCCUUUCCUUGGCUUAUGUGAGGAAUAUAUUACAGGCGUGUGAAGCUAAGGGAAUCAAAUGUAAGUAAUCUAACUAGGGGGAGGCUUUUAAGAAAGAAGUAAUUCACAACGUAUGAAGAAGCAGUGCGAAAGUCAGCAGCAAACGUAUAUGUACUAGAGUCUAAUUCAGUUGCAGUAAACGGGACAAGAAGUCUCCUAUACGGUGGAAGUAGUGCAAUGAAAGUCUUCGAAAUCCGAAUAACUGGAUCAGUAGUUGAAAGAUCUGUUGCCGAAGCCGAAGAUAGAGAGGAAGCAGUGCGAAAGGUCAGGUCAGCUGAUAUUCCAUUCCAUUCUUCCUUUAGAGUGAAAAGACUUAGUGCUAAAGUUCCAUUCACUGUUUUUUCUUUUUAGCCAGAUAGAGCAGGAGCUGGAUCUUGCCCAGUAUAAAGCUAGGCAAUAAAAACGAGAUCUCAAGGAAGGAUUCGAAAUUGCACGAGUCUAGUUAGAAAGGGGAUUUUGCAGAAGGAUGAGUGGGUCAUAUGUGGAGAUGACUUGGCACGCUGUGGCAGAAUCCUAAGAAGUUCCAAUGGAGUGAGAAGUGAAAUGACGCAGUCCUAACUUCAGAAAGUAAGUAGCUACACCAUUCCAUUUGAUGGGGAAUGUUUUUCCUGUCUUGAAAGCUGAAGGAAGUAAAGUAUCUAUCUAGUACUAGUAAACUUCUUUUCUCACGAUGAAGAGUUGCUCAGGACUCGAUGUUCAAAGGACAGAUUCCUUAGGGCGAAGCCUUACUAGUCUCAUUACGUCAGUUCCGGAAUCGGCCAUUCCAUGAUCAUUCUUUCCAUUCCGCGCCCCUACAUGAUCCUUAAAUAGAGAAGGUGACGGUGCAUGAUCCUUAAAUAGAGAAGGUGACGGUGAGAAAGAUCGAAUCCAAGUAAGCUAUUUCGAAUUUGAUCAUCGGCAUGAAAAUAGGCGCUUUCACGACAUGAGAAUCGAACUAAACGUUGUGCUAACGGUUUCGACGUAGGGCUUUUCGAAGAGCGGAAGAAGUAAAGGAGAAAAUGACCGAGACCAAGACCGCCCACGUAGUAAGCCCUUUGCUGGCUUGAAUCCCAACAAGCAACGGGACAAUAAAACAAUAAGGUUGAUUCCACAUAUAGAUAGAUCUUGGUAAACAAACGACUUCUCUUUCUUUUGCUUCAAAGCUAAUGAAUGUAUAAAGAAAGUCAGAGUUACGCUUGUCUAGUGCUAGUGGAUCUAGCUUAAAGGAUGUAAUCUCGCCCAGUGGGAGCCUUCACUAGAAUGCCUAUCUUCUUCAGCUCCCGUUAGCACAACAAUAGAAUCAACAGUAUUAAGUUCGUCAGCUGCCCGCUCACUAACUAGUGCUUCUGUAACGGCUGGCUAAACAUUUCCUGCAUGUUCAAAUCCAAGCAAGUUAUGGAAUUUCCCGCCUAGCUCCUGACCUGAACACGACGGUUCCGUGGCAGAUGGAAGAGAAGAGAGGAGAAACCAACCGUAUUCAAAGGAAAGCAAAACAAGGAACUCUCUAACGUGCAACGUCUUGUUGAGUACAGAGGAGAUGCUACAUAUUCUCUUAUCAUUUCUGCAUUCAGGCGUGUAAGGAAGCAAAGGAAGGGUAGAAACAUGGGCAAAGACGCAAAUGAACAGUGUUGUUCCUUCAUUCUAUUGGUAGUAGCGAGAUAGGAUUCCAUUCCCAAGGGUGGCCAUGUCUUUACAUAGUGGAAUAUUAGGCGCCAUGUCUUUACAUAGUGGAAUAUUAUGGUAUAUAUAAAAGUGUAGAAUAUGAGGGUUCUUAUCACCUGUAGAAUAAAUAGAACUUCAUCUUUCUCAGGUGACCAAUGCCUGAGCCGAAAUCCAAAUGCAUUCUCUGCGGAAGCGAACCCAUCUUUUCUACCACCUGAUUGGUCGACAACUGAACUGCUUCUAAAGCCGCAUUUCGCCAACUAUAAGAGAGAAAGUUACGAGUGGUGUACCACUCAAUCACUACAUGGAAGUCUCACUUUCUCAGCAACCCUAAGAGAGAGGCCGAGCGACAACUAGAUAUAGAGUAUUAUAGUAAAGGAAGGAAGAGCCUCUAUACUGAUGUGCUAUACCACCUGCCCAAUCAUUCUUAAGAAUCGACAGAGAAUAGAAAGCUGCUCAGAAAAACUCUCACAGCAUGCUUUCUUCAUUACUAAUCUGACCUUUGAGAAAGUUGGCUAGUGGUGCAGGCAUGGCAUAGUAGUAGUAGUAGGCCGUUCUCUUUGUUUCUUUCUUCCGGCUUUUGUUCUCUUGCUCAUCAUGCUCUUUUCUUGAUAAUAAUAUCUAUAUAGGGCUAUCAAUCUCGAUCUUUACCCUGUGUAUUCGAACCUUCUCUGAUUGAUCUGAUCAGACGCUUGCACAAGUAAGGUAAGUACUUUGGACAGGUCGCCCUUUGGGCUAUAUUGUACGGAGGCUGUACGGAGGCUAAGUCAAGUGUGCAUUUCAUAGACCAGAAAAUAACCCCUUGGGGUGGCUUUUCGUAAGGUUUUCCCAGACUUCAUGUUCAGGGCGCCAAUUCUACAAAACCAGCAUAAGAGCAAGCAAUAGUUAUAGUGUACAAUGAAAGAGACCGAAGAGCUUUUAAUAAAGUCUGGCUAUUCCCAAAAUACAAGAAAAGAGGAGAGAAGUCGUAUGUCACACACGAGGAUUCACGAAAGAAUGGUUUUCUUAAUCGGAGAGUUGAAAAUAGCGCGGGAAGAGAAGAAUUAAUGGAAUAUGCCCCGAGAUAGGGAGUGGUGGGAAUGAUUCUAUUUCUAUGAUGGAAGAGAAGAAUCCACCGUCCAGCCACACACACUAAUUAGGAAAUUCAUCUAAAUAGUGAAGUAGACUUUCUCAGGAUAUGAAACCAAAUAGAUAUAUGAAGAGAUUGUAUCAUGAUCUAUAUGAUUCGACCGACCUCUUUAAAAGACCUCUUGCUUUUAUUUGCAUUGGGCUCUUUGAUUAACCGAUAGAAAAGCGAGUUUACCCACCCCAUUUAAUUAACAGGAAGAGAACUGCUUGCUCGGAUUCAUAUCUUAACAGGAAGAUAACAGCUCGGAUUCAUAUAUUGUAUUCAAGACAAUACCAAUUCAUAGAAAAGGGGGCUUAUCUUUACGUGGGUCUGCAGCCUUGGGGGCCUAGAUCUGCCUAAGUUAGAUGGAGCCCCAAGAAUUCCAUAUUAUACCUUAUACACCAGAAAGUGAAUAGGACGAAAAGCGAAAAGGGAUGAAUUUGAGGUACUUCAACUCCCCUAGCAUUGAAUAGACUGGGUAUUCAGAAAACCUUCUCCAUAAUAAAAGCGAGAAACUCACAAGAUGAAGGGCAAUAAUCAAAGCGGAAAAAGAACUUACCUGAGAAAGGGCUCGGAGGGGAAGUAGAUAAGCCAGACGUCUCAGUGGAUACCGCCCGCCAGAUAUUACAGCAACGAAUAAGUGUAUGCUUGAGAAGGCGUCUACUCCCGAUAAUAAAUAGAAGUUGGUUGCCUUAGUUCCCUUACCGUCAUAGUCACAUUUCAGACGGGGGAAUCCAAGAAGCUGCCAAGCUUGUGAGCGAGUCCGCUUGAGUCUGAACCUCUAUCCGGACUUAGAAGAAAUUCACCCGCUCCAGGGAAUUGAGACAUGUUGUAGUCUGCCCUAUAGGGUCGGAUACUGACUUUUCUCACCACACAUAUUCUACUCGGAGGCAUUUUAUGAGCAGAUUUUCUUUUAUGAGCACCAUAGAUAGUAAUCAUUUUAUGAGCACCGUCUAUUGUCAGUUAUUCAAUUGAUAUCUUUAGAACUCACUCCAGUUCUGUGAUCACGGACUCGUAUUUGUCCUCGGUUAUUUGAAUUGGAGCAUUCCUAUGUUCAAGCGGGUAUAAUAGCUUUGCCCGGUUCAGUCAAACUAACACUAUAAAGAUCCUGUCUUUCUUCGUAUCGGACUGCUCCGUUCGCGUUCCUUGAUUUAGCAUCAACCUUCCUUUCAGGACCUAGAUUGGAAUUACUUCUUCGUCUGCGCCAAGCGGAUAAUUCUCUGGAAAAUAGGGUGCCCUUCCGGCAAGAUAGAAGUGAAUGCCUUUCCUUUGCCUUAAACAUAAGGGCGUUCAACAAGGUAUUCGAGAUCAACUCGGAUUGUCAUCCUUCCCUUGUUUUGCGAUCCGGACGAAUAGAGCAAGACAUAAUGGACUUUAGGUUGGUCUACCCUGGAGAUCCACUUUUCUCUGUGCUCUAAGAGAUAAUGCCUAAGCUUCUCUUUUCGUUGGCGAAGAUCAAAGCGAAACAUAUUUUCUUUCUAAGGGGAAGAUGAUAGCUAAACUUCUAUUUCUAAGGGGAAGAUGAUAGCUAACCAUUGUCCUUCUAUCUUCCGCGGACCUUUCAUUCUGCUCAAACUAUAGGGUACGACUUAAGUUGUAUAGUGCGCUCUCCUUCCCUUGUUCAUUGCGCUGGGCGCGGAGGAGUACCCAAGGAACCAACCUUCUAAGGCCAUGAGAGAUAGUUAAGAGCAGUGGCUUGCUUUUUCGGUACUGAAAGAAUGUCGUCUGUCUGUUAGGAAAGAGAAACUAGAAUCAAUCUGGGGACUUUCAUAAGAUAUGCUUUUUGAUGCUGUCGAAAGCAUUCUGGCAUGCUCCCUUUUCAAAGAAAAAGAAGAGAUCCGUCCUUUCCCCCACCUAUUAGAGAAUGGCUGAGACCCUCCCUUCCUGCGAGGUUGGAUAGAAACCCUCAGAUAUACGCAACUUUCACCUGUAGGCUUUUGACUCUCGGAUCUUUCUUCAGAGGGUUAUGAUUAUAGUUUGGUCGAUUUCUAUUCUCCGUAGUCUAACUAGAAAGGAAGGGGAAUUGCAUUUGCCCUAUGUACCCGCUGCUAUAUGAUGAAAAAGGCUAUUCCUCCGUCGAUCAAAGAUCUUCUGCAUCAGCCCUAUGUUUUGACCACGAGAUCAUCGACCAUAGACUGGAAAUAUUGUUCCAGAGGUUUCCUAAUAUGAGAGUCAUGGCCCCACCCCAACGGAAUGAGAGAGUCCUAAGGGCAUUACGUAGUUGCAAGAAAGUGCUUUUGGUGUCCUGAAGUAUGCUAUGAGACCACGCCGAACUCGCAAACCUAACUGUAACUACUUGAAGCUCACGGUUGCUUAUUCCCCGAAACUUCUAUUACUUCAGUUAUAAUUCAAUCCUGUUAACUCAUCUUAUGUGGAAUCUUUAUCAUUGAUACAACUAAGAAUUCUAUAUUUGCCAUUAGCAGAGUAGAUCCUAUGUUCAACUUAAAGAAAGAAGCCUAUUAUGUUUCCCGGGGGAUUUGUUUGAUGAAACAAGCUUAGGCCUACUUUAGAGCACUUAGGUUGGUGAGAUAUAGUUGUUUUCUGCCUGUGGAGUCUCAUUCUUAGAUACGGAGGAGCAGUACCCUUCCUUAUUGAAUAGAAUUUUAGUACCACAUAUAAGAAUAGAAUUGAGGAGCACUAGGGUAGGUGAGUUACCCGCUGCCAGCUAGCAUACCUAGUUUCUUAGGACUUGAGUUCGACUUGCCUAGUGUCUUGUCAGCUUGGCCCCGCUUAGCUUUAGGGUUCAGCUACCUAUUUCUGUGGUUACCUAUCGAUUUAUUAUGCUCUACCAGUCCUUAGGAGAGACUUAGAGGUGAGGCAAUAAGGCUUGGUUGGGAAGGCUAACGAGUCAGGCUUUGACUACAGCCCCCGACAGUUCAUUAUGAGUAUUGUGACUUUGAUUCUUCCUCGUAUAAGUGGAUUUCUGACUUCUUAGUUUGAUUCGCUGAGGAAGCCGCUUAUGAGUUGGAUUCACUUAGAAGAGAAAUAAGUCUGAUAUUGGCAAUAAGUAAUGAGGUCGGAUAGAGGAAAUGAGAAAUCUCGGAAUUAUAGGUAUAGCUCUGGAAGGUAAGUUGGUAUUGGUAGUCUCACCCAUGUGUUACGCGCCAAGGAACGGAUAGACAAGUCCUUUCAUUACUUUCCUACGAGGCACAAGUCAGAAUACCAGCUCACAAGAUCUAUAAUUUCUAGUGGGUUAUCAGAAGAAGUAAAGUAGUCUACUUCCGUCCAAGUUGCCCCGGCUUCUUCAGUUGUUCCUACUGCAGCUCUUGCUUCUUUUGUAACACCAGAUUGAGAGGGAGAGGCUUGAAGACCAGACUUAGACCUAUACAAAGCCCAAGGAAGGCGGUAAGCAGCAAUCUAGGAGGGUCCUGUUUCUUUAGUUGACAGAGCAGGAGUGGUUAGUUGAUUUCACACUUUUACAAUUGAUAAACACAAGCCCAGCUACAUCCUUAUUAUAUGGCUAAAGUGAGUUUUCCCCCUUAUUAUAUGGGGUCAGUUAGUUUUACCUAUGAGUUUUACCUAUCUUGGAGACUUUACAAGCACUGCUUCAUCAAACGGAAUUGAAUAAAAGAGUUUUGUUCAUCUAUUUAUGAUAUGCUAUCUUACUUUAGCCAGACUUCCUGCAUUACGUGAGUAGGCGACAAGAACGAAGCGAAUAACUUAUCUCUUUAUCUUUCUUUAAGAGUUAAGGACGGAUACAGGCUCUUUAGGCCUGAUAGUAGUUCCCGCUCUUUCAUUCUGAUAUUUACUUGUUGCAUUCUGUUACUCGACUUGUAGAACCUCCCUCUCGCCCACUAAAGGGUAUGCGCGCAUCUAGUAUAAGGCAGAAAUGGGUAUGCAUCUAGCGAAUCUAGUAUCACACUUAGAAAGGCUUGUUCUUUUGCUUGUUGAAUCUAUAAGAUCAGAAACAGCAGUGAAAGUUAAGGCGAGAAAGAAUCCGCAAAUGCGGGAUCAUCUGAAGGAGUAGUUUCAAGUUGAAGCCCUGCCCUGCCCUAUUUGCCCCUACUUCUAAAGCGAGGUUAAAUAGAGUUCUAUAAGCCGAACGAAUCUCCUAUUUAGCCAGCUUGUCCCGCUGUAGCUCCUUCCCUUGUUUACGAGAGAGAUCAUACUUCCUGUUAAGAGCGAGAUCCUACUUCCUGUUUAAGAGGUUGCUUGCCUAGUUACUUUCCUAGACACGGGUACUAUCUAGCGCAUUAGUAGUAGUUGCCGAACACAGGACUUGCUCAUAGCAACGUAUUAACAAACAUACUAUGUGAGUUUCCUUUUCUCCUUGCUUUUGGCUCCUUGUCUUUCUGUGUCUUUGUAUUAGAUCUGCCUUAGAGUAGGAGCGGGAUCGGGUACUAUUGCGGGGUUCCGCCUCUACUUUCUUUCUUUCUUUCUUUAUAAUAAAUAACUGCAUCUCUUCUGUCCUUCUAAAUUCGAUCUUCAAAUUAUGUUGCUUGGCCAUAAGUAGUAGCUUGUCCUGGAAUAACUCAUAGGGACUCUGGAAUAACUCAUUAUAUAACAUAUUUUAUGGAGCUCCCGAAAACAGAGGACUUAUUUCCGUUUAUUCUGUCUUAGUAGUGUCGGUUCUUUAAGUGGAUAGUUUGGGUCUUCAAGGAAAGUGAAAGUUGUUGACGACGAGCGGUGCGGUUCAUCAAGUUCAGUAGAGGCCGGGGAAAGAGCACCACUACACUCAAUGUAAGAUACCGGUCAACUCAUUUUAUGUGGAAUCGAAUUCGGCUCUUUUCACUCUUUAGAACAAGCAAUAGAGUUUCGAGAACAAGCAACGGAAUGAAGCAAGGGUUCAGAUGCCUACAUUGGUGAUUAAAAGCAUUGGUGAUGAAAAGGCUCUCGCAAGGGAAGUGCUACUACUAAUCCAAAUUCCCUUGAAUCUCGAAACAAGCAAAUACUCCUAGCUGAAGGAUCCCUUUAAAUAAUCUGUAAAUAAGCAAGAACAAGUAACGAUUGCGCCUAUCUUCUAUUCAACAGGAAAGGGUGCCUACUUAUUUGUAUAGGGCCUUCCUUAUAGUCUAGCAUGAGGAUGCCGCCUAGCUGAGUUCAACAAGUUGAGUGCCCCGACUAGCUGAGUUCAACAAGUCAGGAGUAAGCAGUAAAGUAAUAGGUGGUUUAUUACUGAAUGACAUAAUAGGAGAGAUAACAUACAUGUAAAUAUAAGCAAGGGCGAAAGCAAGUGGUAGAUAAAAAGCAAGCAAGGGCGACAGAGGGAAUAAUUGAGUCCGAAUACGGGACAAAGCUUCAAGCAGUUUAUUGACUCCAUUCUAUACUACUAUACUUCAAUUAUGAAAUAUACUAGGUUUCAAUUAUGAAAUCUACUUCGGUAUACUCGGGCUGUCUCAAUUCUAUUCCUUUUUGCACUAAAUAAAACAAGCCAAAGAAAGUGCUAAGGCUUAUUCUCAGGGUGCGGAGUGCGUUAGUGAAGCCUUUGUUUCGAGUGUUGUUACUAAUUGGAAUACAUUUGUUUGUCACGCUCAAUUCGAUUCUUUUGCAUUAAUUCCAUUCUUUCGAUAAGAGAUGAUCUUCUCGCCUAUCUAGCUAAGCAUUUGGAUAGUUGUUGCUUGGCCAUGUUUAUUACAAGUAAGAAAAUACAGAGUUAGGCAAUAGCAGCUUCUGGCUUUUGAUGAAUCCUCUUUUUCGGGGUCGAUCAACCCUAGAGGACUCGAUGGCUUAACUGCCCUGUAAACCUGAUUCAGAGAGAUAACCCGGUUUUUAGACACUCGCCCUACUUGACUUCUAAAGAUAGAUAGAAAAGAGUGAAAGAUGCGGACGCAGUUCCAGUCACAGCUGCUGAGGUGGCGUAGUUACAGGCGGGAGCAAUAACCAAAUCAACUGCUCCAGAUCAGAUCCUUCAUAUUCGGUUGGUUGUUUGCGGUGGAAUAGAUUAUAAGCGUCCGGGCCAGUAGAUCCAGAGCAAAUAGGCGUUCGUUUACUUAGUGGCUUUGCUGUUUAUUCGAAUCCCGAUGUUGAUCCGACGCAACUUACCGGUUAUAGUCGCAGCACCAGGAGCUUUCAAGGGAGGAAGACAUAUAUAAAUAGUAGCUUAUAGUAGCAUACCUUCCGGAUCGAGGGUCCCACCCGGUAAACACCAUACAGGCGAAAUACUUGCGGUGGGUGGAGGAGGCCUUAUUGCACCUAGCCUAAGUAACUGAAACAAGGGAUGAAACUGUAACAGGAACUGCUUUAUCUACUUAAGUUCACCUCGCUGAAGCAGUUGAUCAUGAAAUUCUAAAUGAUGUAUUUCGAGCACAUGGCAUAGAAUUCUUUACGGAUACCCCAGCUUCCCUUUCUUUUGAAUCAGAUACUGAUCUAUCCUCUGCUUAAUAUCCUAAUCCUUCGACUUCUUGAGAUCAGGCCUAUGAAGAGCUAUAGGGCAAAUAUGAGAGUAUCAAAUGCAUUUCCAGAGAAGAAACAUCGCUCCCGAAUAAGCAGUUCUCAAGUAAUGCUUCCUCGCCUGAUCUUGCAGACAAUGCCAUUAACUUUAAGGGCGGAUGAUUCUGAUUACCCAGUUUUCUUCUAUACUCAACAUGAAGUUCAGCUGACCCCAACACAGCACCUCCGCAGUAGAAUCAACUUCUCCUUUAAACUUUACCGACGGAGAUGAUCUUCUCUCUUUAUAUUAUCUCUUAUAUUAGGAUAACGUUGACUCGCCCCCGCCAAGUAACUUAUAAUGACCAAGACACUAGCAAUAAGGUGGCUUUUUCCGAGUUUUCGUAUAGAUAGUAGAAAGUAUUCUAUCGCUCGCAUGGAAGAGAGCUGCUUCUUUUCUAGCUUAUGCAGCAAGUACAGUAUAUUAAUAGGGCUUUCUCCCUUUGCCCAACCCGCCAAGCAGAACAGUAGGAGUGAGUUCAAAAAGAGACUAUACUAGGUGAGCAACAGUCGGACUAGCUAUAAGAGAGGAAGAAGGGAAAGUAUUGCUUGUUUGAAAGUAUGGUUAUUACCGAUAUGCCCGAUAUGAGUCACAGCAGUAGGAUGAAACAAGGUAUUCAAUAAUAAAGUCAGUAUCUGCAGAAGCCACAGGUAGAUCAGCAACUACAAGUCAGCCAAGCAGACAAGACACUAUUAGCCAAGUAACAACUACAUUCCUCCCCCUGCAAACACAGGUCAAGAUAUAUUUCAACAUUGGAAAGAUAGGUGUGUGUUGAGGUCUUCGCGAGUGGUAAGUGAAGUUCUCUUUUUGGUUAUGGUAGUCUGAUUGAAGCGUUUUUUGCAAGCUUUGUAUAGCACAGGACUGUGACAAGGGUUCUUUGGAAUGAAUUCUCUUUUUAGUGCCAGCCAUCUUUAGCCAUUAGGAAUUCCCUUACAACCUUUUACUGUUUUCAAAGCGAGUUCUGCCCAUGCGCCAUAUCUGCUUCAUCUCGCAAUAAAAAGAUCGGCUUGAUUCCUUAUAUUCAUUGUGCAAAUACAUCUGGUGAGCAAGCCAGUUAGACUUUAUCUCCUUGAAUCAAAGCCUUGAAAGCAUCAAUGGGAAAGAACACGCUGUUUGAGAGUUGUUUGGCAUGUCGGUUUAUGCCUUCUCUAUUCAUUGGAGGGUUCACUUUUGGUUCCAUCUUCGAGCGAGUGAAAGCUUUUGAUAAAGUCCUGUGAGUAUGAGCGGUUUCUUUAUUUACUGAGCUCGCAUCUCGGCAUUCUUCUCUCGUUGACUUUGGCCAAGAACCUAUCUCUCUAUACAAAGAGCUACAGCACCGACACAAUCUGUUAACGCAUAUAUCAUAUAUAGAAGUCUGGCUUGGACCACGACUCGGGCAAGGGUAAAGGAAUAGCUGCUCUGCUAUGGGCAAGAAAGUCAAGAGUGAGUUUCGGAGUGUUGUACCCUAUAGACAGAGGCUGAGUGGUUUGUUCGGUAAGCACAAUAAAUCCGGAAUAUUGGAUAGUGCACCACCUAUGAGAGGUUCAGUCUCGACUUGACUUUCACUUUCCAACAGGAUCUUUGACUCUAACAGCUGCCGAGUAAGAUUAGCUGACUAGCGAACAGGAACAAAACUCUACAACUUUGAGCGGGCAACUUACUUGUUCACCGACACAAUUACCGAACCGCUUAGACAAUAAAAGCACUUCCAUCGUAGACAACGAAAUCACCUCUAUCUACCGACGUUAAGUCAAUAACAGAACAAUACUUUCUGCUUGCAGUUGACUUUGCUUUGGCACAGCUGAUUCAUUCUCUGGUCGACCACACCUCGAAUCAAAGCCUUUACCUAUACCAGUGAAAAAGCAGCUCGAAAGCAAGUAUCAAGUUUCGUUUAAGUUGGAAGAGCAGGAUCCGGCUUUGAAGUUCGGUCUAGCUCCUCGUAAAGAAUACGAGUCACUGUUUCUGUUCGAGUAUAGAGAACAAACAAUCUGAUCUGAAUGACGAAAUUCCUUUCUUGCAAUUGACAAGGUGCUGAAAGCCUUUCUUGCAAUUGAGUCCAGUCCGGGCACAGGCCAAAACACACUCCCGUAAGCGCGCCCCAAGCAAGAGAGUUAGGAGGUAGGUAGAAAGUGUUGUAUCCUGUUUAAAGUACUGCUCUUAAAGCAAAGGGACUACCCAGAUACAAAGAUUCCAUUCAUUCUUUAGCUUAUAGUUGAGUUAGCCAUUGCGCAAGGGAACCUAAAAGCUCCGUUCGAAAGGACAGGUAAACUACAAGUAGCAGAAGCCUCAGCAGGACAAUCAGUUUCCUCUUAUACAGAAGCCUCAUCUCCUGAAGCAGAAGAAAGAUCGGAAGAAUUAGAUCUUUCCUAAGAAGAAGAUGCUUUAGCAGGAUAUUGACUAUUUUAUAUGCCAAGUGAAAUCAAGUAAGAAUCAUCCAAUCCUGUUGAAAGUCCGACAAGCUACGAGUCUUCGCCAUUCGUAUGAAAGUGGAGAGUAAGGAGCAAGUAAAGUAUUAGCACUCUCGCAAACCUAGCACUAGAAACUAGAAAGUCAGAAUUGCACUCAAAGCAAAGAGACAACUACUCUACUACUAGGGACACAGGGCACUCUCAGAACUCCUAUAAGCUAUAAGCAGCCUGGGCAAUCAGAGGGUCACUUCGCUCUCCACUCAAUGAAAACUGGACCUGGGCUCUAAUCUACCUCUGUAAACUACUACAGUUAUUGCUCUGGACUACUAUACUAUUGCUAGAGAAAGAAGUGUUCUUCAGCCAACACCGAGCUCACCCCCGGCUCAUCUAACUCAAUUGGUUUGAUACCUUAAUUAGGCUAGGCUCAUCUCACUUCCUUCUGUUCUUGCUUCAUAAGGCUCUUGCUACUGCCAAUCUCUCUCCUCUGUGUUGCAUUCAAAGACUCCUUAGGUCACUUCUUUCACUGCCUUGGUUCAGUCUGGUUGUUGGGUUGGGUGUUUAGGUCUUACUGGCAGUGGUUUCAUUCUCGCUACCCUGGCUUUAUUCUGAGUAGCAUGGGUUUGGUUCCGAUACUACUUAGUUGGAUUCUAUGUAUCAGAUUUCUGGUCAUAGGGAAUAGGAUUGGGAAUAUCAGUUUCAUUCUUUGAUUCACUGGUUCAACUCUACCCCUUACUAGCUCCCGAACACAGUUUAAGCUUCCUCCGCGACAGCGAGCGCAUAACUCGGAAUGCGAUUACUAACUAGGAGAUUCAAUUACAAACUACCGGAUCUAACUACUACUACUAUAAGAAUUGCGCUACUGCUUCUCAGAUCGGAACUCAGGUCAAAAUCACUGCUAGCAAUACUGUAACUACUACUUCGAAUACAACAACCAGUGCUAGCAGGAGUUGAACCACGACUAAGCAGAAGCAACCUAGGAAUAAAGAAAAGAAGAACUAACCCCCUAACAACAACCCACAUAAAAGAGAAACGCUAUCUAUAUUACUUCAACUGGUCACUCAGAUCCGUAUCCUUACUCGCUUGAAGCUGAACCUACCGCAGAGCAGAGCGCCUUACUGCCGGGGAAGGCGCGCAAUGAAAAAGGAUUCUUACUUAUAUCUCGCAUUAGUCGAUUCAGUAUUGAGUUUUCCUAUAUUAGAAACAAUUACCACUAACAAUAAGAGUGGAGCAAGCAACUGGGGAUGAAAACGAAUAAUAAGGGAUUGGACUACCGACUUCACCCGAAACCGCUGAUAGUAAGAAAUGCACUGGAAUACACUGUAUCAAACAACUACCAAGAAUACAUUAUUCAGUAGCUUUGCAUCCGACCGCCUUACUGUCUCCGAGCCUUACUCACAUCGUUCUUCCCUCACAACUACGACUUGACUACUGCCUUCUAUUACUUUUACUUGAAACCCGUAAUUGUGAACUGGUGCUAAUGAGAAUCCUACAACUACUGAUAAUAAUGAAAACAGAGCUAGAGAACUUAACGGGCUUACCCUACUGUCUAUUAGCCCUUACUUUACCGGCUAUUGGUCUUUACUUGCUUAUUCCAUCUUCCAGGCAGAGAUCGAACUACAGCUUAGGGGACUUCACCCACAAAUAAAGCCUGCCCUUACUACACUCCUAUUAUGACUUUCCUGGCUAUCCGCCUAUAACCUUAACACCUAAUACUCCUGACUUAAAGUGCUUAUUUAGCCCUUUCACUCUUAUUAAUUAGGGUAGGGACCUUUUCUUUCAGCCUAUAGCUCUUUGCUUUGCUUUGCUUCGAUUCUAAGACCACUGAUCCGGUCAAUGUCAACGAUACUUGUAACUAGAAACUAGUAACCGAGCUACUACUAUUAGAGAAUUGACUAGUGCCCAACAGGGCUAAGCCCAGCCCACCAAUACAAAGAAUCAAAAAGGAAAUAGGACUUUCGUUUCGCUACUGAACUAAAAGCUACCUUUCCUGUCUCCUAACCUGCUCUACUUGCGAAAAAUCCUAUAUUAAGGCCAACAAGCCCUUAGCUCAUUAAGUAAAAGAACUCUAUAUAUGGCAAAAAGGCAGCCUCAUUGGCACUAGUGAAAGUAUGAGUUCGAUCCUAAGGUAUUAGAAGUAGUAGGCGCAUCUCUUGUUUUGAGUUAGAGUCUAAUCAGCAGUGCCCUUUUCCCUACUCCUAUCUCUUAAUGCGCUAGAUCGUAUCCUGAGUUUGACUUAUCAGCAGUAUUCUGAAAGUACCUAUUCGAUUCUCUUGUUAUCAGUAGCGUUCCCUGGAGCACUAGCUCUCUUUAUUCAUGCCUUAUUCUUUCUAUUAGUGGGUGUUUCCUCUAUGGGUAGGUUUCUUCUUAGUAGUUUAGAGGUUAAAGGAUCCGGACCAGGAGUUACAGAAUUCCAGUCAAUAGCGUUAGGUUGAAAGACAAGAGAGGCAAGGCCGCUACACUCUUUGGCGCGGUAGUGUAGCUCUACUCGGCAUACGGAGCAAGCCUUACACCACGCCUCCAAGGACAAAAGCCUUAUUAUGCAUUAUGCGCCCCUCACCAAUAGUCCAAAACCCUUUCUCUUAGCCUAAGUCUAUGCCCCCUACUUUUAUACCCGGCUCUCCGCUUUUUGCUUUCAAACUUGAUCUCUGCUUUCAUAAGCAAUGAGGGUUGAGCAAGUUAUGUAUUCUCCUACUUGAAUUACUAUACGAAAACACAUGCUUAGUAUUAUAUAUCAUAUGAGAGAAAUAAAACACAUUCUACUAUAACUAUUAAGAGAAUAGAUAGUCCAGAUCCGCAGUUACAGAAAGAAAGAAGCCACACGUAAGACAUAUUAACUAACUAACAAACCAGGCUAAAAGCAAGGAAAGUAGGCCUCCCCCAAGAGAGCAGACUUGAGUCAGUAGCAAAAGGUUUGUUGUCACCAGCUCCAUUAUGCUUAUUGGUAGUUGGAAAAUGAUAUAACAGAAAGGUAGGCUUAAAAGCACCCGUUAAGGAAUAGGCUUUCAGCACCUGUUUUUGGCUCCUGUUAUGAGCAAGUCGUCCUGUGCUCAAGUAAAGAGCUAAUAGAAUAUGGUUUAAUGAGUUAUAAUACAUUUAUUCAUUGCUAUGGUUUUGUAGUAGUUACUUGGCCGGUAUUUUUCAUAGCAAUAUGUACUAGUCCUUCUUAUUCUUCUGGCUAUGGCUCAUCUACCUAUAGUAACGUAACGAUGAGACUUACCCCGCUAACUAGGUAUUCAACCACUGCUAACGGGGCCGCUCCCGGGCAUGUCUUUUGUGUCUUUUAUUCUUGUAUUUCACCUUUCAUUCUUUCCUUCCUUCUUCUCAUUCUUACUAUCAUGUAUAUCUGGCUUACUUUUCUUGCUUUUAGUCUCUAUCUAGUACCUUUCAUUCCUUUAUUUCCCCGCCUAAGAGCCUUACUUAUUAGGUUGAGUACUUAACUCGCCCCUUCCACUCCAUACUGAAAUUAUUGGGCUACUGAGCCGGAUCCUGUCUUACUGGGCCACCCACCCUACCUUUAUGCCCUCCGGCUUUGACUCUACAACUAAUGCUUCUCAGACUUGAUAUCUCCUAUAGAAACCUUACACUACUUACUUGAACUCUGAAUUUCCUAUAUUUUCUUCUUAUCACUACUAUACUAAUAGAUUAGGCUGAUAGUUAGUCAUCUAAGACAAAACCCGAAGAAAGGAAUACUUAAACGAACAAGCGAGAAUGAUACAAAUACUGAAGUAAGGGUUCGGUUAGUCGACAGAGCAGUAGAGGCCUAAAGCCCAGAGGAGACCAGCUUGAAGCCUAGUAGUGAAAGCCUCAGUACGGGUGUUUUCAUUCCCAUCAGUCACCAGUCCCAUUAGAAACAUUCCCAUUGUUCUAUCUUAUUCUCCAACUGUCCCGCCUUAAAGUCCCGCAGUUACUUAUCUAACUAAUGGAAAUCACAACUACAAGAAUAACAGGUGUACUAUAGGGCCUAAUAGAAUUUCACUGGCAAUAACAAGACUCUAGCGACUGCUAAUAAUAAUUGAACUCAGUGGUGGCAUAAUCCAGCAGUAGACUCUCUCAACAGGUGCACAACGACAUAGUUAAGGAUACCUUAAGUCAUAAUAUCCCCUAAGGCUCUAACCACAGCAUACAAGAAUUCCAGUUUUGGGUGGGGAACAGGACUUCGCGGGGCUCCGGUUUUAUAUACCGUCCAGGCAGGCUGGCUAACAAGUCAAAUACAGAAUCGAAGUUAGGCGUUUCAACCCAAUAGUUAAGAGUGAAGGAUUCGACACCAGUUUAGGAUCUAGUUUAAGGUCAAGUAAUACAGGAUGUCAGGAAGGAGCCACAGACAGACCAAUAACCAAGAAAGGUAGACUUACUUACAGUAUAGUCAGAAUGGGGGGCAGGCCCGGAGCUAUUAGUGACAGAAUUAGAAGACGGGUAGUGAAGAUCCGACUCGGUCUCAACCGCUACGUGGACUUUAUCUUCGGCUUAUGUAUCAAACUUGACUCGCCCAGCUUCUUCUCUCGGAUAAAAAAGAGGAACCAAUUCAGAUGUUGCCCUCACCUUAUCCACCUUAUAAAGGGUACGUACGCAUAUAGCCAUUUAGGAGAUAUCAAAUUCCAUUCGUAGUUUGGAGCGCAUGUCUCUAUAUUUGUUAUAUUGAUAGUUUCUAUGCUAGAGUAACCCAUCCGUCCUGUCUUCAAUUCAUAAAUUCGAACUUACAAACUGCACUUCCAACCUAGGAAUCAUUCCCAUACCACUUAGAUUCAUAUGGGCUCCAGGCUACGCAACACAGGUCCAGUCCAGUCUUCUCCCCAAGGUGAGCAAAAGCAGUUUAGGCCUUCCGAACGCUUACUUAUUGGUCUUUACUACCUCGGUCUCUAUGCCAAGGUGUUUUGCCCGUUGCUUUCUGGGGGUAUUAUAGUUUGGGCUCUGACCGAAAGCAUUUUGGAUGAUUCCUUACUACUGUUUGGCGGAGGAACUUAUGGACACCCUUGGGGAAAUGCACUUGGUGCAGUUGCUUAUAUGGUCGCUUUAGAAGCAAGCGUGUGUACAAGCUCGUAAUAAGGGACGUGAUCUUGCUCAUCAAAUAUCAUUCUGAAUAGGGAAGAAGCUAUCAAAUAAAUGGAGCCCUGAACUAGCCACUGCUUGUGGAGUAUGGAAAGAGAGAAAAUGAGAAUUCGAACCCGUAGAGUUGAUUAGCAAGAUAAAGAUCCAAAGUCAGUGUGCAUAAUUCCUCCAUUCCUAUUUGUUCUCCUAAUGGAUUGCAAUUAAAGGCCUCAAAAAGCAGAUUCAGCCGAUUACCUCCGAUUACCUAAUAAUAUAAUAAGAAGUAGCAUCCCAUAUUCUCAUAAGUAAGGUCAGAGCUCUAUUCUAUGUACUGAUCUGCCCUAUCAAAACUAUAUCUAAAUACAAGAUAAGAUCGAAGACUAAACAACUCAAUACCGAGUUUGUUGUUGGAUCAAAGACUAAACAACUCAAUACCGAGUUUGUUGUUGGAUCCAAUCCUAUGAUGCUUGUGGAUUAUUGGACUUUUCCUCGAUCUCAUUCUCACACUACCUUCCCCUGUAGUCGAUCUCUACUAGGACUUUCCGAGCGAAAGGAGUCAGAUUAGUUGACUUUCAUGCGUUAGUUGUUGACUUUUUCUAUGUUAGUGAAAUGAAAAACGGAAUCAUUGAGUUGACUCUGUGCUAACGGGUCUUAAAGCAACAGAGAAAGUCAAAGGAGAAAGUCAAAGAAAGAAUAAGCCUAAGAGGGGCAAUGAGGGGCAAUGCAGAGUGAAAGCCCAGGAAAGGCAUAGUGAAAGGCAUUACUUUGCGAAUUCACCGAAGUUAGUGUUAGUGAAAUGAAAUGAUCUAGAGCCUUAGGGGAUAGGUAGAGCAGAAGAGUCAGUAUAGAAUCCUAAGAUAGAGCAUUCGAUCUAGCAGUCGAUUCAAAGACGAGAAAGAGGCCCGCUCCCUUAACCUUAACCUUGAUAAUUGCCUGACUUAGUGCCUAGCCCUUGAAAGUACAGUACUCUCUUAGCACCCUCGCUUGAAACUCCAAGUAUGACUAGUCGCAUACUGUGCUAUAUCUAACCACACUAUUCUUAUUAUUAUGUAAUAUUAUCUAACCACCCUAUAUUCUGAUUAUUAUGUAAUACAACGAACUCGACCUUGACAUUGUAUGAAACUAUAGCACCGACCGACACAAGAUGACAGGAUUACACCAUUACUGGAAUUCUGAUUUGUCAUUGAAAACCUUUGUUUGCUGGGGUGCGCUCCUAAUUAUGAGUUUACUUAUUGAUUCUCUUUGGUUACCUAUCUGCUCUCCUUGGUUACAUAACUAUAUCUAUAUUUGUGUCAGUCAACUUCUACUUCAUAAAAUAAACGGAGAAACUCUCCUUUCUUAAUCACCCAAUCAUAAGAAUUCCGCUCAUUCUCCGGGAAGCUACCCGGGUUUACAUCAAUCGAUAAAGGUACCCACUCACCUUUUCUCUUUUCUUGCCAACAAACCGGCGUGCUUUUCAUAAGAAAUCCCUGUUCGUUGUUGUUCGACUUGCCGUGGUAGGUUUGUUUGUGUCUCGGGUGCGCCAUCCCAUUACUAUAGUAACAUAUCCAUAUCAUACCAUAUUGUAUUAUAUCAUAUCAUACCAUACUCGGGAGCGAUGUCAGCAUCAUUGUAGCAGGUGAACAAGAAAAAGCAUUCUUCUUAUUAAUAGGAAACAUCUCUCUUUCUUCUCGACCUUGCCUCACACCUAGCUAUACGAGCGGAACUUCCCCUUGACUUGCUAUACUACACAUCUAUUAUUAUUAACCUCUUCGCUCGCCAACAACACAACACCUAUUUCUUGGAUUGAAACCAUAGUAUGGUGCACCGCAACACAACAUAUAGUAUGUUAUGGCACUAUGUUAUGAUAUGUUAUGAUAUUAUGGUAUAUAGUAUGAUAUGGUACAUUACGGUACACCAUACACAUACUCCAGGACGAAACAAACAUACCCAACAGAGAGCUCCCAUGGGACCAAUUCUUCUUAUAGCUUACCAUCUGAACAAUCACUCUCAGAGCAGCCAUCGGAUCAUUCUGUGAGCAAAACAAUGUGCCCAAUCAUUCUAAUCUCAGAGCUACCAUCGGACCCAUCAUUCUGUGCUAUGGCCCAAGCACUCUGUCUUCGCAAUGGUCCAGCAACUCUGUCUUCUAGGGCGAAAGGUCGUCGCAUGGCACACCCCUAUUGAUUUGGAUUGAAAACCCGGCGUAUGAUACAAAACACACCCCUUUUUAUUGAUACAUUGAUUGAAACCAUAGUAUGACACAACACACCUGGAGCGGACCAGAAAUAAGUCUGCGUGUGAACAGCCAUUCAUUCAGUCAUUCUACAAUGCACUUAACGACAACUACGGGAAUGAAACACUACCGUUGCAGCACACUACCUUAUUGAUUUUCAUAAGAAAAUGUAAGGAAACAAAGCAUUAUUCACCAGCGUAUCCAUCUUACUCACAGCCGGGCAAGCACCGAGCCUUAUUAUGUUUCUUUCUAUUUCAUAAUUGUUAGUGAUUCCAGCUUAGGGGAGUAGUUAUGACUUAAUAUUCUCAUAAUCAAAGAUGGGCAACGCAGGCUUAAAUACAAGGGGGGAAGGCUUAAACUCAGCAGCGACAGACUGAAUCCAGGGAGUUACAGACUCAGAUCAGUGCUUCCAAGCCUGCUACUGGUGCUAUUGGUACUCGGAAUGGAGCUGGUGCAGGGCAGAAUGGAGCUAAGGAAUCUUUCGCUCGCUACCGUUUAGCUCAGGCUCCCGAAAGCAUCUACGAAGACAGUUUAAAGCUCCUCCGCGACACAUUAGCAGUGUCUUGGCGGCUAUAGCUCCUGCCGUCGGAAGCAUAGACGAAGACAGGACUUGUUUAUAAUUGCUGCCGUACAACGUCUUUCGCCGUUGCUUGGCCGUUAUACCUAUUACCUGCUGCCGCGCAACAUUAGUAGUUGCUUGGCCCGUUGCUUGGCCGUUAUAUCUAUUACUAUUGCUACCGCCGAGAGCAUCUACGAGGACAGGACUUGUUUAUAACUUGUUAUAAUUACUUAUUGUUGUUGCUGCCGCGCAGCUUUCAACUCGCUGCCGCGACACGCGAACACAGGAAUUGUUAUAACUGCGUUAUAACAUACUAUUGUUGCUGCCGCACAACGUCUUACUUAGUUGCUUGCCUAUCCGUGUCUUGGCGCGCCGUUGCUUGGCCGUUAUAACUGGUUAUUCCGGCCGGGCUGCCGCGUCACCGAACGCAUAGAAAGUAAGAGAACAAACAUAACCCCGAACACAGGAGCGGCCCUGCCGCGACACCGAACACAGGACUUAUUCUUAACUGGCUAUAACUACUUAUUUGUCCUACUGCCGCACAACGGCGUAGCCGUUGCUUGCCUAUCCGUGUCUUGGCUGAGUUUAUUAUUCUAGAUGAGUUUGAGGCCUUGGCGCGCCGUUGCUUGGUCGGCACAUUAGUCGUGCCUUGGUCAUUAGUAGUUGCUUGGUGGCUUAAACGAGAGAGCUACAGGCUAUCCGACCCGGGUCAAGGAAUAGAGCUAGUGAAUGACAGCCUUAGCUAUACGAAUUGGAAUCAGGAAUAGGAUCGGAGGCAGAAGAGACCUUACGUACUUUCUUCUUUUCUUACCUGAACCCAACCAGCUACAUUGAGAGUCUACAGUUUCAAGAGCCAAAGCGGAGUUCUACGCUCCCUUAUGCUUAGUCAGUUCCCUUAUUCUUAUAAGUCAUAUAACUCACUAGUUGACUUCUUUCUGGCCAACCGAGUUGUGUUCCUUCUUGACCAACCCUAGUUCUCUUUCUCGCCAAUCCACCUAGAAAGUGAGAAUUGCCCUCCUUCUCGCAAACCAACCUAGAAAGUGAGAAUUGCCCUCCUUCUCGCAAACCAACCUAAGUGCUCUAUUCUUAAAUUCAGUAGAGAUUUAUAUCUAAGAUAAAGAAAAGAGAAUGUACUCGUUGUCCGGUAAUCGUGUACAGAGGAAUUAUUGUUCCCCGCCUAGGUAUGAGAGAUCCAGGUAACUCACCCACCCAGUGCUUCUUAUCUCGAAAGUCUUAAUGGAACUCAAAGGUCAGAAUCAGAGGAAUUAGCCAGGUAUUAUGGAAGUAUAAGAAGGUCACUAACCAUAAGAAGGUCACUAACCAUACUGGUAAUGGUGUAUCUGGCUCUACUCUUUGCUCUGCCAGAACGGAAAUCGCUUGUCUAGUAUACGCUUGGCAAAACGAUAAGUACUAUAAAGUAGAGAAAAAGCUACAAGGGAAUAAGUAAACAAGUAGUAAGCAAGCCAUUGUGUAUUAGUGAAUUAGCCGUUGCGCAAGGGAACCAAUUCAGAUUAGGGGCUCGUCUACGAACAGCCUUUAGUAGUCUGAGAUGAGUGUUUCCCUAGCAUAUGAGUUUACCCAGGGCAGGGUUAAACGACGAGAAAGAUGAAGUUCAAGCCCGCCGCCUUAUUCAGCCAAAACCUUUAUUAUGACCUUCCUCAGCGCACUUCCAUAGAGUCUCUUUGGAUGGGGCAAGUGUUGUAGUUCAAUUCAAAAAGGGAUGCUGUGCGCAGAAAGUCUCUCGGAACAGGGGCAAGAGUCGGGUCAGCACAGCUGCAGACAAGCUACUAGUCCCCUUAAGUAAUUGGUUGCGCGUAAGUCUCAAUUAGUUCGAGUUUGUUGAGUGCGAGGCAGAAUAUACUAAGUAAUAAGUUUGAGAGCUCAGAGUCUGGAGACGAGAAAGAUGCCUUAUAGCCUUUACUUGGAUUAUUGCCUUACUUGUAUAAUGUCCUUAUGAUGCGAGGUAUACUUCUGUAUAGUCUCUUUCUACUCUUGUUUCAUCCUAUUUCGAAUUAUAAGCUGUUCGAGCAUUAGGAUCUGAAACAAACAUAAGAUGUCAAAUAAGCAGGAUAAGAAGCUUUUCAAAAGUCUGCUGCAAUAUUGAAGGUUGGAAAUUCGAAAGGUGAUCUCGCUAACAGAGCUUCUACGCUAAGGGAGGGAGUGACGAUUAGUGCUUCAGAAGCCCUAGUAUGAGUCUCCUGUUCCUUUGAUACAGAUUCGAUUCGGCUUUCCCACCUGAACCAUCUUUUGAGUCCUUUCCUGUAGACAACACCUCAGCAUUAGAUUCUCGGUAUACCUAUAUUCUGGCUAAUUCUUAUGUUUCCUCUUAUCCAGUACUUGAUGAUUCCCUUUUCUCUGCUUUUCUUCUCUGACCUUCACUGCUAAACCAGUACUGAAUUCUCUUCUUUAAGGUUACCAUUACUUCCAGCCUCAGAUCAGUAUUCUGCUUCAAAGCCUGCCUUAUUACCUUAACCGGGCCAGGCCAGUACUUUUCUUCUUACUCAAAUUCAUUAGUUACUUGACACUUUUACCAACAGCUAAAGUCCAAAGAGAAACCGGAGAUUGGGCUCCAGAAUAAAGGCUCACACAGGACUUGCUCAUGGCAACAUACUAACUAACUAGUAGUGGCUUUUCUAGUAGUUACUCGGCGGUUAGUAGUCACUUGUCGGAUACAACACUUGAGAUACAGCUUCUCUUACAACACCAGUAGUGCAGGCCAGGACGAUCUACUUUACAGCUUUAGCCACUAGACUUUCUCCCCUAGCUUGCGGAUUGUGAUCUACUCCUUUAGAUAGCUUAUACUUUCAAUUCCUUAGCGUAACUCCAUAAGCGCCCUUACUUUGGAUCUACCUUCAAAUUCCCUUACUUGUUCACUCCUGACUAUAUGGUGCACCUAUUCUAUAAUUGAGUCACAAUACAUCUUAUAACUAUUGGUAAUAUCGGCACAGUUCUAUACUUACAAUAGUCAGCCCUCAUUGAACCUACAACUCGAGAAAAGGCUUUUUUCGACAAGCAAGGGCGUUAGUUGAGUCAGGAUAACAAGCUAAAAGGGCGAAAAAAUCGAAUAAUGUACUUUAGUCAGUGUAGGGGUGAACUCAAUUCAUUUGUUCUUCAAGUUCGGAGUGCGCCUAUGACUUUCAAGUAAGGAGAGCCAUAUAAGAGAAAUGAUCUACUAUGCAAAAGAGAAAUUAUUUGAGAACUUGUAUUAGUGGUGCUUGAAACAAACUAGGGCAAUAAAAGAAGUACUCUCGUAUAGCGUGAAGCUGACUAGCGGAGUUCCUCAAGUCGUGGCCUCAUCAAUUCUUAAAGAAAGGGCACAAGGGAGUUCCAAUUUCCAUCUUCCAAUCUUUGACUUUCUGUUAAAAGGGGACUUCGACUCAAAUCCAUGUUUGUUGGCGACUCUAGUAAUUGCUUUUCCGUAUAGUAGUUACUUGUUGAGUGGAAUCCGUCUUUGUUGUCUACUUGUUUUUUUCUGAAAGUUGAGAGUCCGGAGCAGGGUAUUUCCAUUCCUCUAUUACUGGUGUAAGAUCUAUAUUCUUCAAUUCCAUUCAAAGAGCUUAUGCUUUAGAUUCCAUUCAAAGAGGAGAAGUCCGGGUUAGUUGGAGAACCGUAGUGCUAAGGUAGUUUACAGCUAAUUUCUCUCUCGUCCACUUUCCAGUUCAAUUCCAUUCUUCACUGAAAUAAGAGUUCGGGUCGAUAACACACCUCCUAUCCAUCUAUAAAGAUGCUAAAGUGGGCUGGGCUAGAUAUGGAACUAAUUGUCCUGAGAAGAAACGCUACAAAAUUCUAUAUUAUCUUAUUAUAGGAUGAUAUUUACAAUAGUCCGAGGCAGUAGCUUGGCAGAUCGGAAGAAACAGAAAAGAAAUUGUAUUGGAGAUCAUCAACAGUCGAAGUCAAGUCUCUUGUUGUUGGCGAAAGAGUCGAAGUCAAGUCUCUUGUUGUUGGCGCAAGUCCUUUGUUUGGGAGUAGUUAGUUGCCCUUAUAUUAAGUAGCAAUAGAGGGAUGAGCCUUAAGUAAAAUGGGUAAGUUAUGAAAGUGUAGUUCAAUAGCAGUUACGUAUCAGUGCAAGCCAGAGUCGAGUCAGAUAAGUAGUACGCCCAGAGUCAGAUAGUUAAGAAGUCAGAAUUAGACUCAGCAGCACAAGAAACAAGCUAUAGUAAGUAAAACAAAGAGACAAGCUUUCGAACAGAGCUAUAAGACAAAGAAGUAGUGGUAUGGAUCUAUCGCAUCCAGUAGCGGACUGAUGGGAGUGUAUAAAUAGAAGAAUGCUUCUUUAGUGUGUGAGGGCAUAAUGCACCUUCAAAGCAGGGUGAGCAAGGGAAGGGCGUAACCGAACUCAUAAGUAGCAGACCGCAACGCAGGGCCUAAACACAGAAGUGAGCCUACCAACUCGUCACUCUAACUCUUCAACAAUGCCCUCUUGACUUGCAUUCUAUUCUAUAGUACCAGUGGAAACCUACCCUACCAUAUUUUGGAUUAAUAGCAUAUGGAGCGGCUCUUGCUUGUAUCAAUAUUCGAAAAAACCUACAGCUAUUAUGGACUGGAACCACUACUCUAAAAGGCUCUCACUACUCUACUUGAAAGAAUGGAACUUGGAAUAAAGAGAAUCGUCCCUGGGCAGCGAACAACGAUGGUCCACAGGCCGGGCAACUGUCCCUGGGCAGCGAACAACGAUGGUCCACAGGCCGGGCAACUGUCCUAGGUAUGGUCAGCUGACUUAAGAAGAAUUCUUUUGACUUACAAUAAUGAUUCCUGGGGGCUAAUAAUAAGAAUGCUUUUCUCUUGUCUAACCGAGUAUGGAUGGUAUGGUACUAUGGUAUGGUCAUUCAUGUCAUUGUUCGUUGGUGCAUCGCAAAGUGAAGUAAUAAGUAAGUUAAUAUAUAAUAAUAGAGUCCAAAGCUCAGUAAUAGAAGAAGCUCAGUAAUUGUAAUAUCAUAAUAGUCAUUAAUAUACCAUAAUAGAUUCCGAAGCUCAGUAAGAGAAUCACCGGCUUCCACAUGAGUCAUGGAAGAAUCGUCAUUGGUUCCAAAAGUCUGUUUCAGCUCGAUUCGCAUCUUGAUUUGCUACUCUCAUUUCUUUUGCCAGACACUUUUCAUUCCUUAAGCAAACACCACAUAGUCUUUUCUUAGCCCCAUUCAUUCUGUGUGAGCGGAAAGAUAUGCUCCCGUGGGUCAUUGGACAUCGGCACAAAGGUACUAAUUCAGAAAGUCAAAGCACUCGUUCUUGUAGUGGAACCGCUCAUUCACCCAUGAAACGAAAGUGUAGGUCCCGUUCCGUCCCUGGCAACGUAGGUACCCAGUUCAUUGUUCGUUCGUUCGGUUCCCGGGCUAACUCUUUCUUUGAGCAGCAUCGCCCAGUAAUAGAUGGAAGGCGCGGGCGGGGAUGUGACUGUGACUGAACGAGCCACUAAGAGAAGAAUCAACAAACAAGGGGCCAAGCAUAUACUAAAUAGGGUUCACUCACUACUCAAGCAUAUACUAAAUAGGGUUCACUCACUACUUAAGUAAUAGAAUGAAUAGGACAGGUAUAAGAAUUAGGCUCAGGGCCAUAAUACAUAAUUGAUAGUUUUCAGGGUCAAACUCUACCAUCAAGGGAAGCAGUUCUCAAGUGUGAAAAUACUCUGACUUCUACUAUAGGUCGACAGCAGCUCCGGUAACAAUUAAUAUAUAAGAAAUAUACCUUUGACUCAGCCAAGCAACUACGUUAGUAUAGCGUUAGUCUUAUUUGUGUCAUUACAAUUCCUGUUUUUGGGAGCCCCGGAUCGGUUGAUUGUUCCUUAAAGAAGAUAAUCAGGGUUGACUGUUCCUUAAAGUAGUCGUGUUUCCUUAAAGUAGUGGUCCAAGUCGUCUUUAUUCGACACCUCGCAUCAAACCAAGAAUAUCAUCCGUACCACGGAAACUAUAUUAUCUUAUAAGAAUCUCAUUGGCACUGUCAAAAGGCGUAUACUUAGAAUAAGGGAUCAGAAGCGGAAAAAGUAUCCAAUCCAGUAGCAGUGUUGUCACCCAUGCGAGUAUGUCAACGAUACCAGAAUAAGGCUCCUAGGCAGCAGUGGUCUCAUAGAAUCAGUAACUACCCAACCAUGGGCUCUUUCUUCUUUAUUAUCAGAUUCAACUCGGGGCC
rnacentral:lncRNA from 1 species